UGCCCCGAACUCCCUCGGCCAUUGCACCAACGGAUCCACCGACCCUUCUCUCCUCGACGCCAAUAGCCUGAAAUCAAUAUCCGCUGGGAUUAUAUGACGUGAACCGCAAGGUUCACCUCAGGAAUGAGACUCAGGGAGCGUGAGGUCUGCAACCUUGAUGGAUCGCUUAAUGAUCACGGCCGGCGAGGAUCUUGUUUGCUGUGGAAAAGAUCAUUUGGCUCUACGGAUGGGAGACGGAGGAGGAGGUGGUGGAGUCAAUUAAGAGUCGUUCAAUGGCUCCUGAUUCGCAUCAGAGCCAUUGAAUGAUCAUAUAUUCAUAUGGUUCUCUAACUUCUUUUCCGCUGCGAAGAUUUGAAUGUCAGAUUGGAAAAAAGCUUUGAGAAGUUGAAGAUGUUGCCAGCUUGGAUUUGGGCUAACGUGUGGGCCGCGUUUGAUUUUGACCCCGUCUACUUGUUCUGCUUCGAAGUUGCCAAAUGAUCUCAAGGACGAGACAAACCUGAGCUUUACUUCAAAUGGGUUAGCUUUAGUGAAACCUGGUGUAAGAACCUUUGAAUAAAUUUGAAAGUAUAAAACCUAAACCAUAUAAAUAGCUAUAUUCGACUAAAAAUAAGCCUCGAAAGCAAACUAUAGUUUUUUUACGGAUAGCAUUUAUUAACUAUUUGGUUUCUUAAAAAAAUAUUUGUUUUGAAAAAGAAAAAGAAAAUCUUUGACAUCUACAUUACUGAAUUCAAAUAUUGAACAAAAUUUAGUCUAUCAAUGAAAGAACAAAAUCUCCUAUUAAUCAAUUUUUCUUAAAAUGUUUUUAGGUUGUUGAGUGUAUCAGUGUAUGGUAAGAAAUAAAUAAUACAAAAGUAAUAUUGAAAAUGUAAAAACAUGUGAUUGGAUCAAAUAUUUUAAUAUUCACUUUCAUAUCUUCACUUUUAGUUGUAUUAAAGAUAAUUAAGCCCCAUAAACUACGAUUUUCCAACAAAAAAGAAUCAUAUAUAUGGAAAGAACAAUAUAACAUGUAUCCCGACGUUGCCAUGAAUGAUCAAACAUAACAGAAACAAACACUAUAAAGUUAGUUGAUAACAACCCCAACCUAAUCGAAGGGUCGUUAUUUCAAAUAGAUAUGUAUUACAAGGGUAUAUCAUUAUAGCUAUUGGAUGUCUCUGAGUUCCAUCUUGUUUUCCUGGAGUGAUUAAAAUAUAAAAGUCUGUACCAACCAAGUUUCGUUUUAAAAGUUUAAGAUAAGUGGACCAACUAAGUUAACAAGUGUAAAUUCUACAUUUUUUACUUUGCAAAGAAAAGUUGAUCACAAGUGUGGUGAGUGUGCAUUAUUGAAGUUGAAGGGCAUGCAUGUGAUUAUACACUAAUUGGUUAGUCAUAGCAUCUUCCGUACGUUAGUAAGCUUCGCUAAUGGUCCCCAUUUGAUUUUAUAAUUUGUCCCAUGAGAUUUUGGGCAAUAUAUAAGAUGACAAGUUACACUAUCAACACGAAUAGGACGCAGAGCUAUAGGAACUAGGAAGGAUAUUCUUGUAUUAAACUUAAUACAUUGAAAACAGUUGUUUAUUACAAACGAUAUAAUUGUAUAUAGGUUUGGCAAUAGGGAGACAUGGAACAAGUUUUGGUGACAUCGAAGCUGUCGCUAUCAAAGAAGAUGUAAUGAAAGUAUCAAAUAGCUUACUAACUCAUAUGUAUGGGUCUGAGUAGACAAUCCCACACCGCCGCUAAUGAUUUUGUUAUUUCAAAAUUCUUCACUUUAUCGAAGAUAUUAACUUUUAUGUUAGAGAAUUGCAGCUAAAAUGCCUUUAAGAUGACACCAUCAUUGAUUUUGUAUCUUUUACAUUAUCAAAGAAAUUUAUAUUUAUAAAAUGUAAAUUGCAACUAGACGCCCUUAAUCCCUUUCUACGAUGUAAUUAUAAUUAUGAUGUUUAUCCUUAUGUAAAUAUUGUGGAAAAGUGAUCCAAAUGAUUUUUUCUGUAAAUUUAAUUCUUGUAUAUGUAAAUUGAUAUUUUUUUGGUUAAGAAAAAUAAGAAUAACUAUAUAAAUAUAUUCCAAUAAAUAAAAGUGAAAUUAUUUUGUGACAGAGACCAAAACACGAAAGUGUAGGUAUAAGAAUACGCAAUGUAAAAGUUUAUUCUAUAAGAACCCAUAUAUCAUAUACGUAAAAACUAACGUAUGUACAUCUAAUGAUAAGUAAGAUAUAUGAUGAUGGUGUCUAUGGAUGGUGGAGAAUCUAUACAUCUAAUAUUCUGACAACCAACUCUCGUGAUCUAGCCAAACUAUCUAACAAAAUCAUAUUGCUCUAACUCUUGUUCUUGUUGGUUACAUAAAGCAAUAAUUAGGCGAAAAGGGUUCAAAACCCUGUUGAGAAUAAGUUUCACGGUUUUACCAAGAGACAAACCCAUCAAAUGAUUUUCGAAUUUUGAAACCAAGAUAUAUCCAAUACGAUCAAUCUAACCCUGUUGAGGAACUCAGAACGUCAACAAGUACAUCAGCUGCAAGUACCAUGUGUCAAUCACACUUCUCAUUUUCCUAUGCACCGAACCAGAAAAAAUCUUCUUCACUAUCUAUAUGUUGGGAGAACGUGAAACACAAACUGCAAACAUGUGUAUCGAUGAUAUACAAUUAUUAGUCUUAGAUUUUUGUGAAACUAGUUCUUGACUGGAGUUUUAUACAUUCAUUAUUAUACGAAGUUUAAACUAGGUGUAGCAAUAGAUAAUAAUAAUUAAACCCAAGCAUGGUUUAUCUAAAGAUGAUAUACAUAGAGAGUUCCCAAAGCUUUUUACUUCUCCACUUUCAUCAUCGGUGGCAUUCUCAUCUGAUAGGCCCUUGAGCAUUUUAAUCACACACACACACACAUAUAUAUAUAUAUAUAUAACUGCUUCUUUUUGAGAAAUAUAGGUGAUCAUAACUGCUUUGUUGUCUCUCUUCAUUGCCAGAAUUGAACAUCUAGCUAUACAUUUAGCGUUAUCAAGUAAAUCAUAUUGUCUAGCGUCUAACAAAAUUUGGUUUAAAAUGUAUUAACUACAAGUCUUAAUGAAACGAAGGAAGUAAACUAUUGUCAAAAGUUAUAUAGGAAAGAAACAUUCAAACACUAAUCUAAAAGAGACGAAUAUAAUUAAAGGCAAGAGUUGGCAAAUAUUUUAUCCACCAAAGUGAAGUCAUAUUAUAUUUGAUUUUUUACUAUAAGUGUAAGCCUUUCUUAUUUUUUUUGUCAAGCUUGCUAUAAGUAGAAAAUAAAGUAUAAAGGAAACACUUUAGUUAAUUCGUUCAGUGACUUCUGUCUAAGAUAACUGUGUGGAAGUGUAUAUAUAUAUAUUAAGAAGAUAACACUUAACUCAUGUCUAUACAUACAUACGAAGAAACAGGUUCCGGGAAGAAAAAAAUAGUCCUACACAUACAUACAUAUUUUUUAAUGGAAAAGGCGAGUAAAAUUGUAAAGUAAUUGAGAAUAAUUAUGGUGGACUAAUGGAAGUGAACAUAAAUACGAGGGGAAGGAACAUAAACAUUCUCCUUGUCUCUCACACUCCCAGACACACAUUCGUUCCAGUUUUCGUAGUUACUAACAUAUCUUUUUGUUAAGUGAAGUGUGAUAAAUAUAAUAUACAAACAUCAAUAUAAAUGAGCAUGUGCAGAUCGAACAUGAAAAGCAGUGAGUCUGGAGAGAUUGUAAACGGAGAAUGCGAUGUUUCAACGUCCGUAAAAGAAGAAACUAGUGGCAACGCCAAAUUCUCCGCUGGUCUCCGUCGCAUCCCUUUCAACGAGGCUUGUUUCUAUCUCCUUCUUGUUUACAUUUUCGUCCACAAAGUAUUUUUUGAUUAGGUUGGACAAUGCUUACUGUUUUUUUUACUAAGACAAUGCUUACUGUUUGAUUCAUACUUCUCGUGUGUUUUCAUUGGUGAAAACUAGUUUUCGUGAUUCAAGAUCUUAUUCACAUAAUAUAGAUACGUUAUCUACGUUUUUUAUACUAUACAUUUUCGGUCACUUUUUCAGGUUUUGGGGUGUAAAUUAUAUGGAAUUCUUGGAACUUGAUCUUAGACUGGACUGAAUGCCUGCUUUUGACUGUUUUAAUAGCAAUUUAAUGGAAAGUAAUGUAUCUCUUUUAGAAUCAAUUUGAAGAAAACUUCAAUAUUUUCACUUAGUUAACAAGUAUAUUGUCAUCCAUUAUAUGUAACUGUUGUCUAUGUAUAUAUGAUGUAUGAAUGUGUGUGUGUUGAUAUUUAUAUAUAUGAAUAAAGCGUCACUAGUAUGAUAUGCAUCCUCAGUUUCAUGGACUGAGAUAGAUGCUUUGUUUUGGGGUUGUACUUACUUAGAAAAGUUUUCUAUAUAUGUUUCCUCAUUAUAUAUAUUUUUAUUAGCUCAUUUAGUUAGUACAAAGUACUUUAUUAUCUUAUUAGUUCUGUUUUAAAUAUAAUCUACUUACUUUUCAUUUACUUUCUUGAAAACUCUUAACUUAUUUUCUUUUUGAUAUCUCAAUUAUAGUUCAUUAUAUUUUUUAUGAUAUAUGAAUUCCUUCUUAGACGAUUUUAUGAUAUCACAAUUAAAGUUUUCUAUAUAUGUUUCCUCAUUAUAUAUAUUUUUCUUAGCUCAUUUAGUUAGUACAAAGUACUUUAUUAUCUUAUUAGUUCCAUUUUAAAUAUAAUCUACUUACUUUUCAUUUACUUUUCUUGAAAACUCUUUAGUCAUUUUCUUUUUGAUAUCUCAAUUAUAGUUCAUUAUAUUUUUUAUGAUAUAUGAAUUCCUUCUUAGACGAUUUUGUGUUUGUAAAGUAUUGAUAUUUCUAGUGAAAAUCAUAAAAUGAAAGAUAUCUAAGCUGAUUUGUUUUCAAAAAGAAAAUAAAAGGUGCGUUUUUUAGAACCCAUGAUGACUUUUAUUAAAAAAGAUCCUAGAAUGUUGGUACAGUUAGUCAUUCGCUUUUCUGUCACUAGUGAAUUUGAUUAUUCAGUUCUAAAAGUUAUAGAAUUUAAACCUUUUUUCUCUUCUUUUUGAACUUUCUCCUUCCAGUCCCAGUGGCCAUGUGAUGCGACCAUCUUCCUCGUGCUUCCAAAUUACUCUUAAUUUUUAAUGAUAAAUAUUAUUUUCGUAGUAUAUGUAAUAUCGUUCUGUUGAUCACAAUAACAAUUUACUUUAAGCCUACUUUUUUUUAAUACAAAGAGCGUUUUGUACUUGAAAUGUAAAAAAAUAGUCAAAUACUAUAUUAUACAAUUUGUAAAUUGGAAAUUUAUUAUUUUUUUCUCAACACUUGUUUAGUUUUGUUUAUAGAACGAGUACUAAUGAGUGGGUAUAUACAGUACCAGUCCUGAGGGGAAGCCAUAGAAUUAUAGAAGUAUGUGUUUCCAGCCUUGUUUACGAUAAAUAAAUAUCCACGUCCGCAAAUUUAACAGAAUCUCUUGUAGCUCAGUUGGAUAAUAACAUGCAAAUAUCAUGAGAGGUGAAAGUCAUUUUUCAAUAUUUUUGUUACCAUUUAUUAUUUUGGGCUUCCGACCCCCGAGUCAGUGGCGGAUGUAGCCAAUUUUUUUGUUGGGGGGCAAGUUACAAGUAAACAUAGAAAUUAGAGGUAGAAUAUAAAUAUGAGUGAUGUAUCAUAUCUAAUGAUGCACAAAGAUAGACAUUAAACAUAAAGGAAAAAUAACUAGUUUUUUUUGUUUUGUUAAUGUCAAUAUAAUUAUCUCUCGCGUCUCAAUUAGUAUAUAAUUAUAGUACAAUGAAACCUCUAUACAUUAAUAAAUUAAUGAUGCUGAGACUAUACUAAAACUAUAAUUUUUUAUUAAUUUAUAAAUAUAUUAAUUUAUCGAUAUAUUAAUUAAAUCAAAAACUCAAUUUAGAACUAUAAAAUUAUAUUAUUUUAUACAGAUUUUUAGUAUAUAUUAAUUUAUAAAAUAUUAAUUUAAAAAGGUUAUACACAUAACAUUUUCUUGAAUGCGUUUUGGUACAAGUCUAGAACAGUAAAAUAAUAAAUAGUUGUUCAAUAAUUGAAAAAACUAACGAAAAUGUCACAACUUUUUUUCCAUGCAGGUGGGAGAGGAAAUGGCAUCGCUAACAAAAAUAGCAUGCCCGAUCGUGAUGACAUCACUCCUCAUUUUCUCCAGAUCAUUAAUCUCAAUGUGGUUUCUAAGUCACCUCGGGAAAGUUGAACUCGCUGGCGGUGCACUCGCCAUGGGCUUCGGAAACAUCACUGGAGUCUCGGUACUCAAAGGUCUUUCCGUUGGUAUGGACCCAAUCUGUGGCCAAGCCUUUGGAGCCAAACGUUGGACCGUACUUAGCCACACGUUUCAGAAAAUGUUCUGUCUCUUAACAGCCGUUUCUAUACCAAUAGCCGUUGCAUGGCUCAACAUCGAACCCAUAUUUCUCAGGUUGGGUCAGGACCCCGACAUAACCCGUGUCGCUAAGAGUUACAUGGUCUUCUUCGUCCCUGAGUUACUAGCUCAGGCCAUGCUCCACCCGCUCCGAACGUUCCUCAGAACGCAAGGCUUAACGUCACCGUUGACCAUAUCAGCGAUCAUAUCCAUUCUUCUACAUCCUCUAUUUAACUACGUCUUCGUCGUGCGUAUGCGUUUAGGUGUUGAAGGUGUCGCGGUCGCGAUGGCCUUCAACACUAUGAACAUCAACGUGGGACUGCUCGUCUACACGUGUUUUUCGGACUCUCUAAUCAAACCGUGGGAAGGACUUGCUUUGCGGUCGCUUUUCCGCGGUUGGUGGCCGCUGCUUUCUCUAGCCGCACCAAGCGCUAUCUCGGUGUGUUUGGAGUAUUGGUGGUAUGAGAUAAUGCUUUUUCUUUGUGGGCUUCUCGGUAACCCUAAAGCAAGUGUUUCGGCCAUGGGGAUAAUGAUUCAGACAACGGGGCUACUCUACGUAGUCCCAUUCGCUAUAAGCACGGCCAUUGCGACUCGUGUAGGACAUGCGCUUGGUGGCGGCCAUCCUACACGGGCGCAAUGUACAACCGUUAUCGGUCUGAUACUCGCGGUAGCGUACGGGCUAUCAGCUGCUGUCUUUGUAACCGCGCUCAGGUCGGUUUGGGGGAAGAUGUUUACGGAUGAAACCGAGAUUCUUGGGUUGAUCUCGUCGGCGCUUCCGAUCUUAGGGCUUUGUGAAAUCGGAAACUCGCCGCAGACAGCGGCUUGCGGAGUCUUGACAGGCACGGCGAGGCCUAAAGAUGGGGCACGUGUUAACCUAUGUGCGUUCUACAUCGUCGGCUUGCCUGUGGCAGUAACGUCCACGUUUGGGUUUAAAGUUGGGUUUUGUGGGCUAUGGUACGGUAUGCUCGCUGCGCAGAUUACAUGUUUGGUUAUGAUGCUUUGUACGUUGGUUCGUACGGACUGGGAACAUCAGGUGAAGCGAGCAGAGGCACUUACCGCCGCUGCAGCUGAUAGAAGUCGUUCGGAAGAACAUACCAUCCAUACCGAAGUCGAAAAUGAUGAUGAUCUAGAGAUUGGUUUGUUACAAAACACAAAUGACUAAUUUAGAAUUGUUUAAAAUUUUCAAUCGGAAAUUUUAACGGAUUGUUAAUUAUAUAUAGGGUUUUUUUCUUUGGGCAAAUUAAAAUACUCUAGAUAGAGUUGCAUCCAAAUUGUUAUAGGCUGAUAAACAAUAUCUUGGUAAAAGUGUCAUAAGUACGAUCAAAUUGGUUGAGCUAAGUUUUGUUAACAUGUAAGCAACCAUUUUUUUUUCAUAUAAAGUCAACUAUGUAGUGAAGAAAUAGUUGUGACGAAAUUUAAUGAUUUAUGACUCCUCUAAAAUGCCUCUGAAUUUUUGUGAACAACAAACAAUAAGGCCGACUCUCCCAGCUCACCCAGCCCAAUCAUAUAUGAUCUAUGUUACACGGUACAUCAGGCUAUUUCUUGCCGUAGCUAGGAUUGUUGGUUAGGAACGUAAAAUAAAUAAUUUGAGGAUUCAUAUCCAUAACCCGCUCCAUGUUGGGACGAUUUGUAUUUAGCAAGUUCUCGGUUUGGAUUGACACAUCUGUGUAUAUGACCUCUGAGUUUCUCAUUCUAAUUUUUAAAUAAAUUUUCCAAAACCUGCUAUUUUUGGAAAGUUGUCAUUUCGUUGUAAAAAUAUUGUAGAUUUGAGAUUGUGAUUUAUAAAUUAGGAUAAAAGAGUUUUUGUUGAUAGAUAUGUAUGCUUUAAAAAAUUUUGAUCAAUAAGUUAUAAUGUUUAAAUAAAUUUUCCAAAACCUACUAUUUUGGGAAAGUUAUUAUUUUUCUAUAGAAAUAUUGCAGAUUUUGGAUUGUUAUUUAGAAAUUAGGAUAACAAGAUUUUUUGUUGACAGAUGGGUAUGCUUUUGUAAUUUUUGAUAAAUAUGUUAUAUUUUAAAAAUAAAAUUUAUAAGAACUGCUAUAUUUUGGAAAGUUAUCAUUUUUGUAGAGAAAUAAUGUAGAUUUGGGAUUGUGAUUUAGAAAUUAAGAUAACAAAAGUUUUUUUGUUAGAGAUGGGUAUGGUUUUAGAAUUUUUGAUCAAUAGGUUAUAAUUUUUAAAUAAAUUUUCUAAAACCUGCUAUUUUUGGAAAAUUAUCAUUUUGUUGAUAAAUAUUGUAGAUUUGGAAUUAUGAUUUAGAAAUAAGGAUAACAAGAGUUUUUAUUGAUAUAUGGGUAUGCUUUUAGAAUUUUUGAUCAAUAUGUAUCUUUUAGAUAAAUUUUCUAAAACUUGCUAUUUUAAAAACAAAUUAUCAUUUUUUGUAGAGAAAUAUUGUAGAUAUAUGAUUGUGAUUUAGAAAUUAGGAUAACAAGAGUUUUUGUUAAUAGUUGGUACGCACUUUUAGAACUUUUGAUCAAUAAGUUAUAAUGUUUAAAUAUAUUUUCCAAAACCUACUAUUUUGGGAAAUUUGUCAUUUUUCUAGAGAAAUAUUGUGGAUUUUGGAUUGUUAUUUAGAAAUUAGGAUAACAAGAGUUUUUGUUGAUAGAUGAGUAUGUUUUUAUAAUUUUUUUACCAAUAGGUUAUCACUUUAAAUUAAAUUUUCCAAAAUCUGCUACGUUGGGAAAAUUAUCAUUUUUGUACAGAAAUAUUAUAAAUUUGGGAUUGUGAUUUAGAAAUUAAGAUAACAAGAUUUUUGUUGAUAUAUGGGUAUGCUUUUGUAAAUUUUAAUCAAUAGGUUAUAUUUUAUAAAUAAGAUUUAUAAGAACUGCUAUUUUUAGAAAGUUAUCAUUUUCGUAGAGAAAUAUUGUAUAUUUGGAAUUGUGAUUUAGAAAGUAGGAUAACAAGAGUUUUUGGUUAUAGAUGGGUAUGGUUUAAGAAAUUUUCAUCAAUAGGAUAUAAUAUUUAAAUAUAAUUUCCAAAACCUGAUAUUUUUGGAAAGUUGUCAUUUUGUUGAUAAAUAUUGUAGAUUUGAGAUUGUGAUUUAGAAAUUAGGAUAAAAAUAGUUUUUGUUGAUAGAUAGGUAUGCUUUUAGAAUUUUUUUAUCAAUAAGUUAUAAUGUUUAAAUAAAUUUUUCCAAAACCUACUAUUUUGGGAAAGUUAUCAUUUUUCUAUAGAAAUAUUGUAGAUUUUGGAUUGUGAUUUAGAACUUAGGAUAACAAGAGUUUUUUUUGAUAGAUGGGUAAUAUUUUAUAAAUUUUUUCAAUAAAAUGUAAUGUUUAAAUAAUUUUUCCAAAACCUACUAUUUUGGGAAAAUUAUCAUUUUUCUAGAGAAAAACUGUAGAUUUUGGAUUGUGAUUUAGGAUUGUAUUUAGAAAUUAGGAUAACAAGAUUUUUUAUUGAUAGAUGGGUAUGAUUUUGUAAUUUUUGAACAAUAGGUUAUAUUUUAUAAAUAAAAUUUCUAAGAACUUCUAUUUUUUGGAAAGUUAUCAUUUCUGUAGAGAAAUAUUAUAUAUUUGAGAUUGUGAUUUAGAAAUUUGGAUAUCAAGAGCUUUUGGUUAUAAAUGGGUAUGGUUUGUAGUUUGCUCAAAAAUGGGUAUGGUUUAAGAAAUUUUGAUCAAUAUAUUAUAAUUUUUAAAUAAAUUUUCAAAAACUUACUUUUUUUUGGAAAGUUGUCAUUUUAUUUAUAAAUAUUUUAGAUUUAGGAUUGUGAUUUAGAAAUUAGGAUAACAAGAGUUUUUGUUGACAUAUAGGUAUACUUUUAGAAUUUUUGAUCAAUAAGUUAUAAUGCUUAAAUAAAUUUUCCAAAAUCUACUAUUUUGAGAAAGUUAUCAUUUUUCUAUAGAGAUAUUGUAGAAUUGGGAUUGUGAUUUAAAAAUUAGGAUAACAAGAGUUUUUGUUGAUAGAUAGGUAUGCUUUUAGAAUUUUUGAUCAAUAAGUUAUAAUGUUCAAAUAAAUGAUCCAAAAGCUACUAUUUUGGGGAAAUUAUCAUUUUUUCUAUAAAAAUAUUGUAUAUUCGGGAUUGUAAUUUAGAAAUUAGGAUAUCAAGAGUUUUUGGAUAUAGAUGGGUAUGGUUUAAGAAUUUUUGAUCAAUAGGUUCUAAUUUUUAAGUAAAUUUUUCAAAACUUACUAUUUUUGGAAAGUUAUCAUUUUUCUAUAGAAAUAUUGUAGAUUUGAGAUUGUGAUUUUGAAACUAGGAUAACAAGAGUUUUUGUUGUUAGAUAGGUAUGCUUUUAUAAUUUUUUAUCAAUAGGUUAUAUUUUUUAAAUAAAUUUUCUAAAACCUACUAUUUUGGAAAAAUUAUCAUUUUUGCAGAGAAAUAUUAUAGAUUUGUGAUUGUUAUUUUGAAAUUAGGAUAACAAGAUUUUUUAUUGAUAGAUGGGUAUGCUUUUGUAAUUUUGUAUCAUUAGGUUAUAAUUUUAAAAUAAAAUUUCUAAGAAUUGUUAUUUUUAGAAAAUUAUCAUUUUCAUAGAGAAAUAUUGUAUAUUUGGGAUUGUGACUUAGAAAUUAAGAAAUCAAGAGCUUUUGGUUAUAGAUGGGUGUGGUUUAAGAAUUUUUGAUCAAUAGUUUAUAAUUUUUAAAUAAAUUGUCCAAAACUUAUUAUUUUUGGAAAGUUAUCAUUUGUUGAUAAAAAUUGUAGAUUUGGGAUUGUGACUUAGAAAUUAGGAUAACAAGAGUUUGAGUUGAUAGAUAGGUAUGCUUUUAGAAAUUUUGAUCAAUAAGUUAUAAUGUUUAUAUAAAUUUUCCAAAACCUACUAUUUUGGAAAAUUUAUAAUUUUGUAUAGAAAUUUUGUAGAUUUUGGACUGUGAUUUAGAAAUUAGGAUAACAAGAAUUAUCAUUUUAUUGUAGAAAUAUUGUAGAUUUUGGAUUGUGAUUUAGAAAUUAGGAUAACAAGAGUUUUUUUUUGAUAGAUGGGUAUGGUUUUAUAAUUUUUUAUCAAUAGGUUACAUUUUUUAAAUAAAUUUUCCAAAACCUACUAUUUUGGGAAAAUUAUCAUUUUUGCAGAGAAAUAUUAUAGAUUUUUGAUUGUGAUUUUGAAAUUAGGAUAAUAAUAUUUUUUAUUGAUAGAUGGGUAUGCUUUUGUAAUUUUUGAUCAUUAGGUUAUAUUUUUAAAAUAAUAUUUCUAAGAAAUUGUAUUUUUUGAAAAUUAUCAUUUUCGUAGAGAAAUAUUGUAUAUUUGGGAUUGUGAUUUAGAAAUUAAGAUAUCAAGAGCUUUUGGUUAUAGAUGGGUAUGGUUUAAGAAUUUUUGAUCAAUAGUUUAUAAUUUUUAAAUAAAUUGUCCAAAACUUACUAUUUUUGGAAAGUUGUAAUUUGUUGAUAAAAAUUGUAGAUUUGAGAUGUGAUUUAAAAAUUAUGAUAACAACAGUUUUUGUUAAUGUAUAGGUAUGUUUUUAGAUAUUUUGAUCAAUAAGUUAUAAUGUUGAAAUAAAUUUUCCAAAACCUACUAUUUUGGGAAAGUUAUCAUUUUUCUAUAGAAAUAUUGUUGAUUUUGGAUUGUGAUUUAUAAAUUAGGAUAACAAGAGUUUUUGUUGAUAGAUGGGUAUGGCUUUAGAAUUUUUGAUCAAUAAGUUGUAAUGUUUAAAUAAAUUUUCCAAAACCUACUAUUUUGGGAAAGUUAUCAUUUUUCUAUAGAAAUAUUGUAGAUUUUGGAUUGUGGUUUAGAAAUUAGGAUGAUAAAAAUUUUUUUUGAAAGAUAGGUAUGCUUUUAGAAUUUUAAAUUUUUGAUCAAAAAGGUAUAAUGUCAAAAUAAAUUUUCCAAAACCUACUAUUUUGGGAAAGUUAUCAUUUUUUCUAAAGAAAUAUUGUACAUUUUGUAUUGUGAUUUAGAAAUUAGGAUAACUAGAGUUUUUGUUGAUAGAUGGGUAUGGUUUUAUAAAUUUUUUUCAAUAGGUUAUAUUUUUAAAAUAUAUUGUCCAAAACCUACGAUUUUGGGGAAGUUAUCAUUUUUCUAGAGAAAAAAUGUAGAUUUUGGAUUGUGAUCUAGAAAUUAGGAUAACAAGAGUUUUUUUUGAUAGAUGGGUAUAGUUUUAUAAUUUUUUUCAAUAAGAUGUAAUGUUAAAAUAAAUUUUCCAGAACCUACUAUUUUGGGAAAAUUAUCAUUUUUCUAGAGAAAAAUUGUAGAUUUUGGAUUGUGAUUUAGAAAUUAGGAUAACAAGAGUUUUUGUUGAUAGAUUGGUCUGGUUUUCAAUAAGUUAUAUUUUUUAAAUAAAUUUUUUAAAACCUACUAUUUUGAGAUAGUUAUCAUUUUUCUAUAGAAAUAUUGUAGAUUUUGGAUUGUGAUUUAGAAAUUAGGAUAACAAGAGUUUUUGUUGAUAGAUGAGUAUGGUUUUAUAAUUUUUUAUAAAUAGGUUAUAUUUUUAAAUAUAUUUUCUAAAACAUACUAUUUUGGGAAAGUUAUCAUUUUUUUAGAGAACAAUUGUAGAUUUUGGAUUGUAAUUUAGAAAUUAGAAUAACAAGAUUUUUUGUUGAUAUGUGGAUAUGGUUUUAUAAUUUUUUUUCAGUAAGAGUAAUGUUUAAAUAAAUUUUCUAAAAUCUACUAUUUUGGGAAAAUUAUCAUUUUUCUAAAGAAAAAUUGUAGAUUUUGGAUUGUAAUUUAGAAAUUAGGAUAACAAGAGUUUUUGUUGAUAGAUUAGUCUGGUUUUUUAUUUAACAACAAAAACUCUUGUUAUCAUAAUAAGUAGGUUAUAGAAAAAUGAUACCUUUCCUAAAAUAGUAGGUUUUAGAAAAUUUAUUUAAAAAAUAUAACCUAUUGAAAACCAUACCCAUCUAUCAACAAAAACUCUUGUUAUCAUAAUUUCUAAAUCACAAUCUAAAAUCUACAAUAUUUCUCUAGAAAAAUGAUAAUUUUUCCAAAAUAGUAGGUUUUGAAAAAUUUAUUUAAACAUUAUAACUUAUUGAUCAAAAGUUCUAAAAGUGUGUAUCUACUAUCAAAAAUUUUUUUGUUAUCCUAAUUUCUAAAUCACGAACUCAUAUCUACGAUAUUUUUCUAAGAAAAUGAUAUUUUUUUUUAAAAAAAAGGACAGGUUUUAAAAAAAUUAUCUAAAAGAUAUAUAUUGAUAAAAAAUUUCUAAAAGCAUUCAUAUAUCAACGAAAAGUCUCGUUAUGCUAAUUUCUUGCAUCUCCUUCCAAUAGUUUCUUUCAACCUAAAAUACAAAACCUUUCUCUCAUACCACCAUCAUGUCCUCUUCCAAGUCCAACGACACGUUCCCUGUCGCUACUAUAGUGUCACUCACCAUUGAGGUUGUUAUAAUCAAUACCAACGCACAUAACGCGUUUUUCGAUGUUGAAUGACCAGUGUUGCUAAACUUUGCCACAAAAUUACUCGGAUGCAAUGCCAUUUCUUUCGAUUUUUCUUUUUGAACACCUUCAUUUCUUUCGAUUUAAAAUUUUAAACCUAAACUCGCAGGUGUUUGAUGUAAUUUAUGUUCAACAUAAAUUCAUAAACAUAAAUUUAUAAACUGUUGGUUUUAUAAAAUAUAUAUAUAUAUAUAUAUAUUUCUAUGUUUUUUUUUAAUUUACACAUAGAACAUAAUAUAUUGUUGUAUAAUAUAGAUGUUUGAUAAUAAUUUUUUUGUAUAUAAUAUUAUAUUAAAUUUUAUAAUUUGAUGUAAUUGUAUUAUUCAUAUAAUAACCUGUUGUUUUUGGUUAAUUUACUUUAAAAUAAAACAACAUAAACAUACUGAAAAAUUAAUUUUUUUACAUUAGUUUUCUAUGAAUUAUUAUUAAUUUUAUGAUAUUUUUUCUUAAUAAUUGAAUUCUCGAAAUCUUUAUAUUUGAUUAAACUAAAUAAGAUAAUACUAUAUUUAAAAAUUAAUUUUAAAUAUAGUGGCGAAAUCUGUAAAUAAAAGAAAAUACAAAAAAUAUUUAAUUUAUUAUAAAUACAGUGGUUAAAUAUGUAAAUAAAAUGAAAUACUUAAUAUGUUAUCAAUAUUUUCAAAUAAUCCUCGUUUAUGAUGUUAUCCAUGUUUCCAAACAGUACCAAAAAAAUACUUCAAUUCUAAUAAUAUAGAUUAUUUUGUGUGCGCUAUACAACGUGUAAAUCUCAAAAGACUCGAAAUUAGAAAACCAUAUCCCUAAACACAUCUAACUCGGAUAUAGAUCCUACAAUAGUAAUCGUGAUCACAAAUCGAAAGUGAUAAAUCCAUGUGACAUCAAAAUACUAGCAAAUUUAAACCAACAAAAAGAAAUUGCAUAAAUGAAAUAAAAUGUAACUAACGAUGUUUGUUUCAUAGUUUUAUAAUCCAAAGUCGAGUAGCAAUGAAUAAAUUAAUACAUAUAUUAUUUAAUUUAAAUUUCUAGCAUAUUUUUCGAUCUAAAUGAUGCUAUUUCAAUUCUCCUUAACUUGAAUCUCAGUAUAUAUGGAUCAUUUUGCUCGAAUCGGAUUCUGGUAUGAUGUUGAAUUUAUAAACUUUCAACUUAAACAUUAACCAGUAUAGAUAAAUUGGUCAGUAUUGAUAAAGAUGUCUCAUGAAAUUUAUUUGAAACUUCUAACGCGCUACACGUAUGGAAUAUGAGCAUGCGUAGUAACUAUUUGGGCCAUAUAUAUUUACAGCAAUAUACUUUAAACUUGCACGUGUUGUGCUCACGUACAAUACGUUGCAUGCAGCAUUUCGGUGCCCAAUUCUCAAGUUUCACCGAAAACAAAAAGGCAUAAAUCAUGUAGCCCCUUAGGCACCGACGUUUUUGACUUAGUACGAUUAUUCUUCUUCCUCUUAAACAGUAAAUAAGAUUGCACAUGAAUGAAAACCAGUGUCGUGCGAAGAGUUGUAGGGGCCUAAGGCAAGUUUUAAAAAUAAAUUUAUUUACAACCGUAAUGAAAACAAUUUUCUAAUAUGAUAUAUUAUUUUCACCAAAUACACAAGUCUAAUACUGUAAAAAAAUAAGUUUAUAACGUAAAUAUGUUAUAUUAUGUCAUAUUGAAAAAAAUACAUGAAUUCAAAAAGUGAGUUAAUUAAUUUUUGCAGAAAUGUUUUUUUUUUAAAUAAGUCUACACCACUAUAGUAGAAAUUAUUUUAAAUUUUGGGGCCCUAAAAACAGUCAUAUUAAUCGGGGGCCUGAGGCGAAUACCUUUUUCAAUACACUGUAGGCACGCCUCUGAUGAAAACUACAGAAAACUUUUCAUUUUGCCGUGUUCCUAUCGGCUUACAUAUAGAGAACAAUUAACACAUCACCUGACCGAAAGAAACACUAGUUAAGAAAAUAUAGUACUAAAGAUAAAAUUACUGAUAUUAGCAAUUUAGCAUAGCUAAAUGAAGAAUAAUUCUUACAGAAAGAAUUGUAAACCUUAAUUUUCUCAAAAAAAAAAAAGAACUAGGAUAAUAAAUUAUGGUUUAGUAUAGCUUAUAAGGUUUUAAAUAUAAUGUGUAUAUCAUAUAAUUCUUUCAGAGAAAAAUCAUUUUUUCUACGGUAGGAAUGUAGAUAAGAAAAAUUAAACGACUCCGUUAGUGGUGUCUAUUGAAUGAGACUCGAUAUGUCCAUAAUAUAUGUAUGUAAAUUAGAAAAUGUAUCACAUUUUUUUUAGAUCCAAUUUAUCUAGCACCAAUAUAUGUAUUUUAAAAGGUUACAUUCUCAUGUUUUAUAUUUUAUAAAGCCAACAAAACAACAAAUUUAUCAUCCUAAAAUAAUGUUUUGCUAUUUUCGCCAGUAAAACUAAAGCAGUUUACUAUCCUCAGUUAAAAUGUAAUGAAUAAGUUUUUCUUCUUCUUCUUUUGGCAAAUAUGGUAACUUUUUAAUCUUUUGACACGCUAUGUAGUUUCUUAUUAUCAAAAGCACAUACUACAUUUAAAAAUAUUCAAUUUCUAUAAAACAUUAUAGAUAAAAUUAUACCUCAUAAAAGUCUAGUGAGUUGUACAAGUAAAAGCACCUAGUUUUACCAAAAUAAGACUAGAAAUAGUAUUAUGGGGGAGGGGAAGAUCAAAGUGGUGGCCUUGAAAAGCAAAGCAACCGACACGGAGUCACAGACCCCAUCCUACCCAUGUGUUGAACUGCAUUCAAUUUUGUUAUGUAUCAGUCAGAUUUUUCACAUAGUGACGAACCGUAUACAUACAUUCUACUAGGUGUGGGAUGCAAGGACAAACCGACAUCUUCUCGGGUAUAUAUAUAUAUCCAUACGGAGAAAUUAUAUGAAAAAGAAACAAAAUAUUUUGGGAAAACGUUUUAAAAUAUUUUGAUCUGGAGAUAUCUUAAAAGCAAAAUUAUAUAUCUCAAAAAUAAGCUCCAGAUGCGUGUUUAAUUAAUUUAAAAAUCGCUCCAGAUGUGUGUUUAAUUAAUUUAAAAAUCAUGUUGCUUUUAUGCUGAUUUUUAAGAUUUAGAACAUCGGAUAUAUUUGGAUGUUCGCUUGCCAAAAUUUAGUGGAUAUAUUUUGUCCGUCCAUUUUCUGGAUUACGGGUGGAUACUUUACCGCAUAUCCGAAGCCGCAUCCGAAUCUGAUCCGAAAAAUCCAAACCGAAAUAACAAAAUAUCCGAAUGGGUAUUGAAUUAGGAAAAAUUAAAUAUCCAUUCGGAAACGGAUAAUAUCCGAACCUGAAUGGAUAUCCGAAGAUAACCGAACAUAUGUAUUUAAUCUUAUAUUUCUAGUUUACAUCUCUUAUUUUAUAUAAAAUAUUUAUAUUGAUACUACACAUACUUUAAGUUCAUAUGAUAUACAUAUAAUUAUGGAAAAAAUGAUUUGUUACUCAGUUAAAAUGUAUAUCAAACUUUUUAUUUCAAAAACUAACAAAAUGUUCCAUCCAAAAUUUUAAAACAAUAACCAAAUUAAUAUCUUUUUAGUUUCAAAAUGUUAUGUCCAAAUCUAUUAACCAUUCAAUCUAUUAAAAAUAAAAAAAAAUAGUUAAAUGAAAAUUAUAUUUUUAAAUACAAAAAAUUUGAGAAAUGAAAUAUUUAAUAAAUACAUCGCCUUUUUUGAUCAAACUAGUAAUAUUACUCAAACAUAUGUUAUGUUAUGGACAUAACAUUCACUACUCACUUAAAAAAAUAUAUAUCAAACUAGAUAUAUUGAAUGGUUAAUAAAUUUGGACAUAACAUUUGUUAAUUAUAUAUCUCCUUUUUUAAUCAAACUAGUAAUAUUACUAAUAUAUCUCUAAUCACAUUUGCUGGGUCUAAAUAAAAUCAAUGUACGUCAUGAUUAUAAAUAUACUAAAGAUAUUGUAGAGUUGUUUUCUAAAAUAAAAUAGAUUAUGAUAUAGUUGUAAUGUCAAAUAACUAUUUGCAUAUCCACAUCUACAUUUCUUUUUUGGUCGAAGCGUAUCCACAUCUACAUUUCCUCUCUCUCUCUUUUUCUUAGCACAUCUAUAAAAGUACGUCUUAUUAAGAAUAUAUAAUGAAAAUGUAGAAGGAAGAGACGUUUCAGAAAAAGAUAAAAACGAAAUUUGAUUAAAAUGUCAAACGAGAGUUCCUACAUAACUAGGGACCUCAACAUUAAAUGAAAUCAACAACCAACAAACUACUCCCAUUCCUCUAAACCGCAUUCACAUUCAUAACAUAAAUUUUCCUUGUCUAUAUAAACACUCACUCCCCCAACUCUCUCUAUCAUUCAUCACUACACACUUCUCAUUUUGCAAACAAUCAAAAUCCCCUAAAACUAAGAAAAAUGGCUGGUCUAAUGAAAUUGGCAUGCUUGGUCUUGGCCUGCAUGAUUGUGGCCGGUCCAAUCACAACGAACGCGGCUCUAAGCUGUGGAACCGUUAGCGGUAACUUGGCAGCAUGCAUUGGCUACUUAACCCAAAAUGGGCCCCUUCCCAGAGGGUGCUGCACCGGCGUUACUAAUCUAAACAACAUGGCCCGUACAACCCCGGACCGUCAGCAAGCUUGCCGUUGUCUUGUAGGAGCCGCUAACUCCUUCCCUACUCUCAACGCUGCCCGAGCUGCUGGACUUCCUAAGGCAUGUGGAGUCAAUAUUCCUUACAAAAUCAGCAAAAGCACCAACUGCAACAGGUAUGUCGUAAUCUCUCUCUGAUAUAUAUGAAAAUUAAAGGUUAUUUUAGAACAAGAAGUAUAUAACAAACAUUAUUAUGAUGAUUUACAUUUUAAGAUUAUUUUAUUGUUAAAUAAAAAGUAUAAGUUUUUUAAUAACUGUUUACUUCCCGGUUUAACCAUGUUCUAAUGGAAGUUUUGAGUUUUAUACCGAUGAAUAUAAAUUAAAAGUUUCUUUUGUUUGAAUGCAUAUUAUAGUACAAUAUAACAAUGUAAUGUUUAUUUGUAUGUGGUUGCAGCGUUAGAUGAGCGGCGGUCGGAUGAAGAAACUCAAGCGGACGUACGAAUCUAAUAUAAUGUAUGAGAGAGUACUAAAUAAGAUGUUGUUUUUCUAGUGUUUUAAAAUUUCAUGUUUCUCUUCUGUUGUGUCGUUCCUUUACUUUGGUUGUAUGUACUAUGUUCGUAAUCAACGUCCGCUAUAUGAAGUUCAUAUCCAAGGUUUACGUUAUUCUAUAUUCUUAAUUACUAAAACAAAGUUUAGUUAGUUUCACUGAUAUGAAAAAUUAAUAAUUAAACAUUAAAGAAAUAAAAUAAUCACUAAUAUGCAAUGCAGUUGAGAAGGAACGGAACAUUUUAAUUUAAAGAAAAUGAAGUAACGGGACAUUCUUAAAGUAUCCUGUUUAUACUUGAGAAUUAAUAUAGUUGAGAGAGAAUGAUGGACUGCUUUAAGGAACCAUGGCAUCCCCUGAAUUUAGGGCCCUACUUUUUUUUGUCGUCAAGUAGGGUUGUAUUAAAUAUGUGGUGUCUUUUUAAAAAAAAGAAUUGAGCUAGAUUUUAGACUCAUGACAUAAGAUGGCGAUUUGGAUUUUGGACAACCAAAUAGAAUGCACACUUAGAAUAAGAUUUCUAUUGAAUUUUUUUGUCAUCUUUUCAUCCUUGAUCGCUAAUUUUUUUUCAAAUAUACCGUCUUUUGAAAUGUUUCUAGAGAAAGAGAAAAUGUCAAAAUUCUACCAAAAGUCUAGACACGCAUCUGAUUGCCUUCUUAGUGUUAACGGCUAAUUACAGUUUUUUUUUUUCUGGUAAUGGUACUUAAAUAAGGAUAAAGGGAAUUUCAAUAUUUCAAGGACUCUCAAUUUUACAACAGAAAAUAGCAAACUUUGACAAAAACGAGAUAGAUUAGCAAAAUACUAUGUGUUUAGCAUAUUUUGCAAAAUAUUUCUUUGAUCCACCACAAAAAGGUCUUACAAGGUUAAUUAACAUCUACAGUUUGCAAAGAAGGUUAGACCUAUUUUUCGACAAUGAAUAGAGGUUGAAACUCUUAUGUGUGUUUUCUUGUUAUAUUAAGAGUACAUAAGUUUUUUUUUUGUUGGUCAAAAUGUUAAAAGAGUACAUCUGUGUUCUCAAGUGCAAUUCUAUAGUCUUAUAGGAGUGAAACAAAAACGAGAUAGAUAAGCAAAAUAUGUGUUUCGCAUAGUUUGCAAAAUAUGUGUUUCGCAUAGUUUGCAAAAUAUUUCUUUGAUCCACCACGAAAAGGAGGCGAAAAUAAGUGUAUUCGUAGAGGGUUAAUUUACCCUACAGAGUUAUAUAAAUUAGUUUAAUUUUUAUUAAAUACUUAAACUUGACUCCAUCAAAACAUAAAUAUGACCUCUAUCAAAUUUAAGUUCAAACGAAGUCCGACAAUAUCGUGAAAGUUCUUCAAUUUUCAACCAAUUUAUCAUGAUCCCAGCAUGUAAUUUGUAUGGCUCCGCAGAAAAUACAAUUGUUGGAAUUGGAACUGAGAGUUUACUAUACUUUUUUAUAUUAUUUUGUUUUCGUGUUGGGCCGAUCAUCUCAUUAACAAGCUUUCACGUGAGUAUUUUGCUGAAUCCGCCAAUCAUUAUAUUUUAAAUCUGCUCAAUCUUAUUAGCGGAUGAUUAGUUUGGCACGAGCUAUCGAUCUCAUAUGAUUCUUGAACACAUAAUGCUACAAUAUAUAAAAUAUAUACUAUUUAAUUAUUUUAUACAAAUAACUAUUUUUAUCCGAUAUAGUUUAAAAAGUCACAGAAAAGGAGUACAUGUACGUUGAUAAAAGGGAAAAAAUGUAUUUUUGGUUUCACUUUUCAGAAAAUAAAAUUAAAUAAAAUGUCAAUCAAAGCAGAUGAGAGGUAAAUAGGUGCUCUACAUUAAAUGUAACCAACGGCCAACUAACUAAUCCUUUCUUCUAAUCGCAUUCACAUUCUCAAAACAUAAACUUUCAUUCUCUAUAUAAACACUGACUCCCUCAACUCUCUUCACCACCCAAAUAUCUUACUUGUUUACAUCUUCUUUUGCAAACCAACAGAAACACUAAUAGAAAAAUGGCCGGUGUAAUGAAGUUGGUAUGCUUGGUCUUGGCCUGCAUGAUUGUGGCAGGUCCGAUCACAGCGAACGCAGCUCUGACCUGUGGCACCGUUAACAGCAACGUGGCACCGUGCAUUGGCUACAUAACCCAAGGUGGACCCCUUCCCGGAGCGUGCUGCACCGGUGUUAGUAAACUUAACAGCAUGGCCCGUACAACCCCGGACCGUCAGCAAGCUUGUCGUUGCCUUAAAACUGCUGCUAGCGCCUUAGGCCCUAGUCUCAACGCUGGCCGUGCAGCUGGAAUUCCCAAGGCAUGUGGAGUCAGUGUUCCUUUCCCAAUCAGCACCAACACCAACUGCAACAGGUACGUAUAUUAAUUUGAUGAACCUCUCACACUCGCUCUUGAACUCUUAUAUUAACGGUUUUAUGUUUUAAUAAUUUUUUAAUGUUAAGAAAAUAUUCCCGGUCUAACAAUGUUAUAAAGGAAAUUUUGAGUUCUUAAAUGAUUCAACAAGUGUACGUAAAAAGGUUUUUUUAGUAGAAAUUUGAGGUUCUCUUAUACUAUAUUAACGAUGUUAUGUUUGAUUGGGCGUGGUUGCAGCGUGAAAUGAGCGACAGUGUGAUGAAGCUUCAGGGGACGUUUCGAAUAUUAUAAUAUGGAUCAGAAUAUUAAAUAAGAUAUGUUCGAAUGCAUGUUUUAAAAAUGUUUUAUAAUUUCCUUCUUUUUUAUUUUAAUAUGGUGAUCCUAUAUUCCUAUGAACUGGUCGUUUGUACUAUGUUAUCGAACAACGUUAUAUGAAAUUCAGAUUUGAAGUUUAUAUUCUUCCGUGUUGUACCGCCUCUUCACGAAGCCUUAAUAUAUAAACAAAGAAAAAGUAAUGGGAUAUUCUCAAAUGUUAACUGUAAACUACAGUUUUAUUAUCAAUCAUUUGAAAAAAAACAAGAAGAUAAAACUAAGCUAUGGACGUAUACAUGUCAAAAAAUUCGUAUUUGAAGUGUUUUUGUAUUUGGAGACUUUUAUGUGGAGAUCCAUGGCAUGUUGAGGAAAGCAAAGAAGUAUCGUUCUGGUGUUUUAUCGGCCGAUCAAGUCCGCAGCAGGACAACGUACGUCGACAAAAUGUUCAUCGGUCAGAUAACCUAUGCGUGGAUUAGUAACUUUCUAUUUUCAAAGGCACUUACUACCUUCAAAAUAAGAAUUACCUUGUCUAAAAUCUUGAAAGUUCCCGAUAAGAUGUAGUGAUUUGUACUAGUAAAAGUAAAACAUACAUAUUUAAACAUACAUAAGAGUAGAAAUAUAUGUGGAGUGACGAAGUGACGGCCAUGUAAACCAAAGCUAAUUAAUUGCAUGGUAGGCAAUCGACAGUGAUACAAUUCUACCAAUUUGUCCUGCCAUUUAAUUUAUCAUGCAUCAGUCUUCUCUUUCACAUAAUGACGAACCUUUUACAUACACUCCAUGGUUUGGGAGGACAGACAAACCAACAUCUUCUCGUGUGUAUCCGUCCCGAGAAAAAACAUAAAUAUUUAUUAUUGAGUAUUUAUUAUUAAUUUUUUAAUUUAUUUGUUUUUUUUAAUUUAUUUAGAGAUCACAUAAAAGAUUUACUACAAUACUCAAAAAAAUCUCCAAUAUUUAGGUUGAAUUAACAGAAAAAAUCACGUUUGAUAAAUUUCAAAGUUUUUCAUUUAAAAUAAAACUUCUUUGUAAAAAUUGCCAUGCAACCUAAAUGAAGAGCAUAUUAUUGAAAGCAUGAGAAUGCAACAUAUGAAACCUUAAUGAUAAUUACGUACCCGUGUCAAAGAAAAUUACAGGCAAUGAGGUGUUUGGUGUAUCUGCAUUUCUCAGUCACCAUCACAGAGAAUUUUGUUAAUUACUCCCUCUUCGUAAUUAAUUACUCCCUCUUCGUAAUAAGCUUCACUUUAUGCUUUUGCAAGCUGUAAUUAAUUACUCCCUCUUCGUAAUAAGCUUUAUUUUAACCUUUUUUUUUCUUGUUAUAAAAAAAAUAUCACUUUACAAUUCAAUGCAAAUCAUAUAUACUUUCAGCUGAAAAUUAAUUAAAAAUUGCAUUAAUUUUGUAAAUAAUUUUAUUUAUUUCAAAUACUAUUAGUAAUAGAAAUAUAAUUAAUAACAACUUACAUUUAUGUCACUUUUUAAUUUAUGUGAAAAAUGUACGAUACUUAUUUAUAAACGGAGGGAGUAUUAUGAUUGGUAGAUAGAUGGUAGUCUAAUGAUAUGUUUAAUUUAGUUUUGUAUACUUAUUAAAUAUGUAAAAAUUACCGGAACGAUACCAUGAAUUCGUAAAUAUAGUUAUCAUUUAUCAAAAUAUCUAAAAUUGAUUCUUCUACUUUACCAAAAAGAUACUGACACUCUCACUCUUCUUCUGCCAAAAAGAAACUGAAAUGUUGUCGAGGUUCCAGUUGGUUUAAAUUUUAAAGUGAGAAAGGCUCUACAUUGUUUAGAGAGUCUACUACUUCUGUAAAAGUUGUCCAAGCCCAUCGAUAUACUCAGGUAUUUUCCAAAAACCACGACGUCGUCGUUUAAUUCAUCUUCUUUGCUUCCUAGUUGAACUAUACACAGCUCUCAUUGUUGAGGUGGGGAAAGAGAAGAGUGAUCUAGAUGGUGGUGAUGAUACAUAUCAGGAAGCAUGGAAGCAAUCUCGUAUUUUAAAGAGCAGGUGUCAAAGGUGCAGAGCUUGUCAUCGGAGCAAUACACACACUGUUAACUCCCAAAAAGCAAUGACAAUCUUGAAAGAUACUUCUGAACAACUUAGGAUUCAAAGAAACAAAUCAUAAGUGAGAGCUGAUAUCCCCCAAAUAGUUCCUGCUUCAUUACAACCACAAAUGUUACUUUUUUCUCUAAAGCUAAUCCUACACAAACAAAUGAUGAGUAGAUUCAAUCAGACCAAUUUUGUGCCAAAAAGAACCAGAUUAAUAUUUGAUAGUACAAACUGGAGUGGGCCGAUCAAUAUAAGCACUAUCAAUAUAAUACACUAUAUUGACUGAUCAAUAUAAGCACUAUCUUGACUGGCAAAUGCUUAGCAAAUCAAAUACACAAUGAACAUAUUGGUAACAAAGCAAUAUAUAACUUAAACUGCUAGUAUAUAUACUCCUCUUCCUUUGGAAAGCCGUUGCUUGCUUUAAUUUUUGCUAAGCAUUUGCAACUUGCAAGUCAAGAUAAUGCUUAUAUUGAUCGACCCCGUUGCACCGACCAAAACAGUUCUGCUAACUUCUAUCAGCUCAGCGUUAUGGGCCUUUCGUGAACACAAACUCUAUCAGCAGAAACAUAAAACACACAUAAAUAUAUUUAAGCGUUUUAUACAAAGAAUGUAUCACUCACGUAAAGAAUUUGGAGAUUCUCUUUAUCUUGUUGCUUAACGAAAAGCUUUAUGUUGAAUUUUUUUAUGAAAUCAACUUUCUUGUUUCGGUUAAGCAUGUGAUUGAAGGACGUGGGAACCGUCCCAUCUUUGACUGAUAGAAUUUUCAAGGGAACAUGUCUUGUAGCUCUCGUGAAAACAUUAUCCGAAGGUAUUUAGGGUUUCCAAAGGCCCAUCUCAGCUUUGAUUGGUAAUAAACAAUAGCCUAGUAAUAUAUUAUGGCCUCGAUAUAAAGCUUAAUGAUUAAUGAAUAAAUCCUCCUGUACAUUAAAAGAGAAGUGACUUCAGUGGUUUCUACUGACGUGGUAAUCACAUAGAGCUUCUCAGAAAAAUUCUUAUAAUUCUAUUGGUUGAUUUUUUCGAAUUUUCUUCUUCUUUUUUAUUCAAUCGCGCAUCAGAUAAGUUUGAAACCGAUAAAGACGGUCCGAACAGAUGAGUUUGCUUCUCGACACUCUGAAGACUCAAUCAGAUCAAUGGCAGCAAGGAGCGACGAGUAGAUGAGUUUCCUUCUCUCCACCAUCGAUCAGAUCGAUGAGGUGAAGUUUGUCGAUACUCUGUUAAUAUACAGAGUUUUUGGUUUCUCUGAUUGGGUUCGAUAGCGAUUAUCGCCAGCUGAGAUUGAAUUGAAAUUUACUCUCGAACCGAUUUAAUUUGUAAGAUAGAAACUACGAUCUGCUUAUUAAUAUUUUGAUACUUUGUAUCUAAUUGAGUGAUUAACCUGCAGAGAUCAAAAGGUUGAAGAAGCUACAUACAUAAUCGUUAAACAACUUCGUUAACCAGGUAUUAUUAACUUUUGAAGUAAAAUGAAAUAGCCAAUAUGCAUAAGCCACGUAUGGGGUGUUUACCAAUCCUACAUUCUCUUAUUUAGACAGCGGUUGUGUCAAAUUAUAUCAUUUUUGAUUUAUUUUUUUCCUUUUUCCUCUUUAGAACCUCAACUAAAAUCCACCGUUGGAAGUGGUCUUAGCUCUAAACAAAUAUUAUAAAAUAAUCAAGACUAGUUCUACUAAUCACCAACCAAGUAAAGGAGGAGUCAACGAGGGAUCAUUUGAUUAUACAAUAUUAUAUGCCUAAGCUAGGUUCAUGUGGUUAGCUCUAAGCUAUUAUAAAAUAACACAAUCCAAAUCAACAACGUGAUCAUGGCUAAAUCUAAUCAUUAAAAGUGACUUAUAUCAAUGUCAAUAGUAACAUCAACAGAGAGAUUAGCUGCCAUCAAGGCUCUGGAAGCAAUGAAAUCAGAGACAAACCUCUCCAUGAACCUGAAGAUAGAAGAGAACGAUUGAAUCAAAUAAGAUGAGACUGAGAUUGGAUCAAAUAAGAUGAGACUGAAACAGAAAACAGAUCAUCAGGAUUCAGAAUCAGAAUAAUCACCCUUGGGGAAGCUCCUCGAGUUAUCGCUCGCAAACUCAACGAUGUCUCCAGCCAUGUAUCUCUUCCACAGAUCGUUGAUCUUAGUAUCAAGAGUCUGUUUGUUCACCAUCGUUUCUUUUCUUCUGGUUCUUAGAGAAAGAGUGAGAGAGCAGGAGAAUAGAACGUUGGAUCAGAUUCCAAUCUGGCUUCUUCAACCAUUAGAAACUUCUCUUUAGUCUUCAGAAGCUCCUCUUCAGACAUAAAGAGCUGUGGGCAACAAGAGUUCAAGUACUGAACGUAGCUGAACUAGUCACAAAUUCAUAAUAACAUACAUAAUAACAUCUAGCGAUCGAUUAGAUAUACCAAAUCGUGUGAAUCAGAGUGACUUACAUUAGCGAUGUCAGCAGCAACAGGGAGGUUAGCAUUCAUCAACGCUCUUAAACCAAGAAAAUCAUCCACGAAGAUUCCGUGAACCUGCAAAAUAAGAGAUAGAGAGAAUCUGUAUCAAAUAAGAUGAAAGACUGAAACAGGAAACAAGAGAAUCAUCAGGACUUAGAAUAAUCACCCUAGACAAAGCAUUGACUGAUAAGUACGAUCUGAAUGUAUCUCACAUGUGGACAAUCUUUGUAAUUUAUUUUCGACAUAAAUGUUGACAUUAGACAAUGGUAAAGUGCAGCUAGAAGGGAACAUAAAAGUUUAUAGCAUAUCCAUUGAUAAUUUGGAAUUGCUUUGUAAAGAGUUGUUUUAUACAUUUGCAGUAUAUAGGUAAAACAUUAAACUUCUUGUUUUUGUUUUGUUUUGUUUUCUUUGUACUCAACAUCAAACUUUCAUAACCGACAAAUAGCAGGCUUAUCACCAGCCUCAACAACGACUCCUUUUGCUGAACACAAAAGUUACAUCAAUAAUUGACUGAACUUAUGUACUAUCAAGGCGAAGAAAAAAAAACUGACAGCAAAACUUGGCUCGUUCUUGUGUAACAUAUAAGAAAAACACAUGCAUAAAUUACACAAUAACAGAAAAGAACUAAUAUUACUUACAAAGCUUAAAAAAAAGAAAAUUCAAUAAGAUCUAAACAUUUGGUCGAGAAUGAUGGUAAAUGCCAUGGCCACAUGAGGCUCCAUCUCCGAUUCAACUAUUAGUUUAAAAACAUCUUUUCCAAAGGCAACUCCUCCGACCAUUGCCUCUUUCCUCUUGAUCUCAGCUGCUUUCUUCUUGUUCCUCCUCUCGUCCAAUAUUUUGCAGCUUCUUUGGCCGAAUGAUCCUUCUAUCUCGUAUAGUAAUGUCUUCUUGGUGCUAACCCACGCCAAGCUCCUCCGGUUUGUCAUUAUACUAACGUUUUUUCUCGCUGUGAAUAUUGGGUCUCUUUGUGUUUCUCCAUCGUAUACCAUCCAGCAAUCUCCCAGGCUCAGUUUCUAAUCAAAUAGGUUAAAAAAAGGAAAAUUCAAGAGUUAGUUCCAUAAUAACAUGGUUAUAUAAAACAAACAUUCAUGUAAAGAUUCAUUAUGUGAAUCUGUCAUGUACUUAUAAUGGUUGACCAUUGUGGAUGUUUUAAAUAACAAGGUUAUUUGGCUCAAUACUUAAUACUUUUUUUAACGCUGAUUUAUUUUGCUAUUGCAAAUUGUGAGAAUUAUUACAUAGACAAGUUUAACAACUGACAAUUAUUUGGUUCAAGACUUUGGUUAUCAAAAAGAAUAUAGAAACAAAGAGAGAACAUGUACCUUGCGCCGGAUAGAGAGUAGGGGUAAGCCAUAAGCGUCCAUAAGGACGAUGUUGUCUUUAGAAGAGUUCAUGUAGUUGUCAACCCUAAAGACAAGAUCUCCAUUAGAGUUGUAAACUGUGAAUCCAUCACAGUUGAAGAGAAGGGACUUCUUCCACACCGUCAAAACUGCGGCUGCUUUACUAUCACACAAGCUCUCCUCGCAAGUGUUUGGGAGCUUUGGGUGAACUUUUGUCAUCUCUUUUCUUUGUUUCUGUCUUGUUUUCGUUUGGUGAGGUUUGAUGAUUGUUGUUGGAGUAGAUGAGCUGAUCUUUGUUUGUUGGACAAAUGAGAAGAGGUCGUUGCGUGUUUAUAAAUACUAUUGUAGAAAGUGAGAAAGAAUGUGAUGCUUAAAUGAAAAGAAUGGUGUCAUCUUCUUGUUGUCCACUAGAGAGAUAUCGUUGUCAGUCUAUUACUAUAAGAUAUCUACUAGUCGCAAAUUUAGGUACUUGUUAAAAAUAUAUAUAUAUAAAUUAAUUGAUUCCUUUCAAUAAACAAAUAUUAUUAAUUGUUUAUCAAUACUUAAAAAAUUAACGUAUCAUUUAAUCUCACCUAAACUCCAGCAAAAUAUCAUUUAGCAACCUUGUAUUUUGUCCCUGCAAAAUAACGUAUGGUUUCACACGUAUUAUAUGCUGCUGAUAUUUAAUCUAACGCUCUAGUUAUAUAUAAAAGAAAAUAAUUCAUAAAUAACUCUAGUUUCUAAUUCAUUUGGCCGAUAUUUUAGAGAACUUUACAAAAUGAACCGAUUAAUAAAUAUUGUUGGUAACUGCAUGGCGUUUUUAAGUAUUGAUAAACUAAGUAAUUUGUUCAAGGCAAAUCUAAAAAUACGUUUAAAAUAUGUUCUUAUCAUCAUUUAUUAACGAUUAUUUCAUGCAUCUUAUUUUCUCUUCUAUAUACGUUUUUAUAAUUUAUAGAAAAAUAUAAUUUACACGUCAAACAUUUGUCAAAUCUUUCUCUCUAUAUUUGUGUGUACAUUUUUGUUAUGAUCACUGAUAGAGAAUAUUAUUGUCUCAAAAGAAAGGAAAAGAAUCUAUACCAUGAAAAACCUACGGGCCAUAAUCCAUCGCCAUUUCGAGUGCAUCUUUUUACAAUGAAAAGACGAGUUUCUAUAUGAAAUAUACUUCCAACUUUUUGCAUUAAUAAGUAUUUCUGCUGGAUUAACGCAUUAUUCUCGAAAAAUUGAACCCAUAGGCCAAAGUAAUAUAUGAUAUAUCUUCUCUAUGUGGAUCAACUUGUAGCAUGUUCCAAAUCCCAAACCUGGUUAUUGGCUCGAUAAGACCAAUUAUGUUGCAAAUAUCAGAUAAUAUAUAUUUAUUAACAUCAAGCUUUGAAUAAUUACCAGAGACAUUUUGAGCCAAGUGAAAAACAUAAUCUAGUGGGAGGAUAAGAACGGGUGGAAAGCAAAGUUCAAAUAUAUAUAAAUAAACAAAAGGCAAUUUCAAAGUUUCAAACAAGGACAUGACAUAGAAACGAGUUAAGAAAUUGAGUUUUGAACCAAUCCUUGGUUUUAAUAUGAUGUAUGAUGAAUAAUCAAAGCUUAAGAAUAAAAUUAUGUGGCUGAGAAGCGAUUAGCGGUGGGGAAGAGAGAAGACAAAGCCAUCCCAACAAAAUUCCACCAAUUAUUUUACUUAAAAAGUUUAAUAUAAUAUUUUCCUUGUGAUAUUUUUCCCACGUCCAUUGUUAUAACAAAAUGUCCCACUUACGUUGACAUCUCUCUUACAUUUUUGUAUUCCUUUCGUUAUCUAUCGUUUGUUUAUAAACAAAAAGAUUGCGGUUUAUGCGUCAUAUGCACACAAAAAGUGAUUACGACCUUUGAGAGGUAAGACACGUCCCACUUUUCACCAAGUGAUUGAUAACUACGCUCUGAACUUGGAACAAUAUAUGUUUCUCUUUGCUUUCACACUAUGAAUACAACCUAAGUUGUCUCUCCUACUAUUACCAAAUAUUCUGAUUCCUCACCUUGGUAGCUGUACCUUAUUGUGUGUUUUGUAUUAUAUGAUCAUUUUGCAUCCUACUAUCUAGUAAAACUCAAAUCCAUUAUAGAGUCAAUCUAUUUCAAAAGAAAAUAUAGAAUACUACAUUUGAUAUGCUAUAAGUGAAUGUAGGUGUUUGAGCAAAUCUAUGUAACCUGGUAGUAGAUAUCAUGGGAAAUCGGCUAAUUCCUACAUCAACACAGUCCAGCGGUCCCGAUCAGUACAUAAACACAUAAGCUGUGCAAAUACAUACAUGAACACGUAGUUAAUUCAAAUAUCUUACACGAACUAACAAAAUUCGGUUUUUGCAUACAUUAACCAAUUAUCCGUUAGUCAAACGUAACGGAAUCUGAGCUGUCCGUUAUAUACCAUUACGUGGCUUUUUACGUUUUUAAAUAAUGAAUAAAUUAAUAAAAAUAAAAUAAAAGAUGGUUACAAGGGGGAGUCGAACCCUGGUUUGAGAUAUACCAAUCACAAGAAGAAACCAUUGUGCCAGACCCAACCUAUUGUUUAUAGUCCCAGUUGUUUCGUAUUUAUACAAAUAUUUCAUUCACAUAUUUCUUUUUUUUUUCUUUCCAUGUUUGACUUAUCAUCCAAAUUGUUCCAAAACAAAUUCAAAUACUUUUUUGUUCUCUUUCUCCUUUUCUUGUGGAAAAAAUAAUUUUUGUAUAUUCAAAAAAAUAAAAUAAAAUAAUAUAUAUUAUUAAAAAGGAUUACGUACGUUGGAAUUGUCUUCUACCUUUAUUAUCUCUUUGUGAAUUUCUAUUUUUAAAAGAUAAUAUUUACUUUUAAUAAUCAACCCGAUAAACAAAAUUUCAAAUGUCCAUUACAAGCUUAAAUUGAACAAAACAAAACUAAUUCAAAUAUUGCACGUCUAAUUUCGUUCAACUACCACACCGGCGCGUUCCGCUAAACCGAUCUAUAAUCCUUAGUAAAAUCAAUUCCCUUUUUGAACUAGUUCAUUCUCUUGUUGAAAUAUUUAAUAUGCUUUUGUUUAAAUUUUGAGUAAAUUUUUUUUCAGUUUCCAGUAAUUGUAAGAGAACGUUAGAAACAUAAGGGUUUGCAAAUAAACUCAAAUUCAAACAAGAGGAAAUUAAAAAAUUUCAGCAAGAGAACGAUCUUUCGAUCUCUUUCUCACAAAAAUAUAGUAAAGCUAGAAAUAACUUCAAUGUAUAUAUUAUUAUUUUAUUUUUUUGAAUAUAUAAAAAGGUUAUUUCUUCCACAAAAAAAACAAAAAAAUAUUUGAAUAUUUUUUCAUUUUGUUUGGAUGAUAAGUCUAUUUUCUGAACAAUUUGGAUGAUAAGGUCUACCACAAAAAAUAUAUAUAUAUAUAUGUGAAUGAAAUAUCCAUUAGGUAUAAAUGGGAAAUCAUUGGGAGUACAAAUAAUAAGUCUGCCUUGGCACAGUGUUUUAGCAUGUGUUGGAUAUUGCUUAGACCCAGGUUCGAUUCCCCCCUCUAACCAUCUUUUAAUUUUUUUAUUAAUUUAUUCAUUAUUUAAAAAUGUAAAAAGCCACGUAAGCAAUAUAUAACGGACAAUUCAGAUUCCGUUACGUUUGACUAACAGAUAAUUGGUCAAUGUAUGCAAAAACCGAAUUUUGUUAGUUCGUGUAUGAGAUUUGAAUUAACUACGUGUUUAUGUAUGUAUUUGCACAGCUUAUGUGUUUAUGUACUGAUCGUGACCGCUGGACUGUGUUGAUGUAUGAAUUAACCGUUUUCCCGUAGAUAUCAUUCUUAUCGUCUUCUACAUUGGUAAUAAUGAAAAAAACUUGCACAAUGACAAAUGGAAAAUAACGUGAGUAAAAGAAUGAUGGGACACCUCUCUUUACCAAAAAUCAUAUACAACAUCCAAGUUUCUUUUCGAAAUCAUAAUAUCAAAGCUGAUUUUGCAAUCAUCUUCAUCACUGUCUCUUAAAAAAUCAAUUUGCUAAUCAUUUUUUAACCCACUUCUGCUAGCUUCUUCCCCUUUCAGCAUUUCUUCUGCAAUGCAUUCGGGUUUAUUUACCCCCACAAAAAAAUGAGAUGCCACUCUAAAUCUUUUUUUCUUUGCGCGUGUGACUUGCUUCUACAGCAUUGUCCCCGUGUAAUUUCUUCUACUUACUCUCUUUCUCAUCAAGGAUUCACGUUACAGUCACUCAAGAAUCCGUCUUCCCUGUUCAGAUGCUUUCUCCAAUAGCUUUUGUACUGUGGGAUUCCCAUCUCUAGCCACGGCUUCAUGUUCCCAUUGUAGUGCAACGUCGCUGCGUUCUUUAUCGUUUGGGGUUUGAUAUAGUAGUCAUAACCAAGCCCUGAUAGAGCCCAUUUGUCUUCAAGAGCAUAUACUUUGUCUUGAAACGUAAGCAAGCUUGCUUUCAAUGCAAUUGCUUCUCUCGGCUCAGCUCCACCACUCAUCUGCCACACACCAAAACAAGAAAUAAGCAUAACGAAACACCCAAUUUCUCUUUCAGGUUUUUUCAGAAAACUGACCUGUUUGUAAAAUUUAUGGUAUGUUUCUGAGACUCCCAGCUCCCUCCAUCUAGCAAGAUCAAUGACAUUCAAUCCAGACAUCCAGAGACAAGCAUUAGCAUCAAAACUUCCUCUCUUGAGACUCUUUAGCUGACCUAAUCUCACAGAGCACGACUUCACUGCGCCGUUCACUUUUCCUUCCAUAUCAAGCUCCCAAAGAGGAGACAAGUCUCGCUGGACCACAACGUCAUGAUCCAGAACCACAACCUUUUCCAACUUAUGAAAUAUUUUCGGAAGAAGAUAGUGAGAUCGAGAGAAAAUUGAUAAGUAGUCUGCUCUAUUGUCACCACUUGGGAAGGAGACACGGAACUCUGUAGGCAAAGACAGCUUCAUAUCAGACUGAUCAAGCUCCAUUUUCUCAAUGUUCAAGACUUGAAUAGCUGCUUGUUUGCAGGGAUUCCUGAUGAACCAUUGUUUCAUCGCAAAGUAGUUCUGCUCGUCGGUCAGUACAUGGAAAACAAAGUUUUUACUUUCCUGAAACAUCAACAAUCAACCAAGAAUCAGACAUAACAUAAGGGUCCUAUGAUUGCAUGAACAAGAACAAAAACUGGAUUUAACACAUACCCUUGCGUGUACAGCCGUUGAGUUGAUCACAACGGAAGAUGCAAGUAUAUUAUCGGAGAUGAUAACAAAGUGAAGCAACGAGGGAUCUGAAAACUUCUCACUAUCCUCAAUAUCAACUGAGCCUGACUUGAAAUGCUCCACAGUUAGCCUCAUUGACAAGCAAUGAAGACUCUUAGGCAUUGUCUGCACCGCAAGCUGGUAGAGGAACACACUCUGUUUCAUGUGGAAACUUGCUUCAUCCUCAGUCAAAUCCAGGAUCUGUCUCAGUUUCUUGUCAACAUUGUUACAGUCAACCGGAAAAGACUUUGCCUUUGAAAUCACACCUUCCAUCUUCUCAAACUUCUUAUCAACCCUUGUAGAAUAGUGGAAAGAUACACACAAUAAGUAAGAUUUAAGGAAAUUAGCAGAGGAUCUACACAUACCCCAAACUGGUAAAGGACUUACUGUGGUGGAAGGUCACCAUCAGCUGAACUUUCACUAAGAAUACGCUCAAACUCUUGGAUGUUCUGUUUCAUAUCCCGAGUCAGCUUGCUUUGAGAAGGCAUUUUAGCAAUACUUGGGUAGUACGCUCUAGCCACAAAUAGCAGGUCCUUCAUAUGCUUCACCUUGGAAUCUUUCAUCGGUUCCUUAUUUUCCUCCCUCCAGAGACAGUAACUCCCGUAUUUCACUUGACAAGUUCUCUGACUUUCAUCAACACUAACUACCGCCCGCUGAACACCUUUGUACGAGACUUCAGUUUUUGUUUUCUGUUCACAGAAUAAAAAACUUAAGACGAAUUGGUGAUAGUAACCAAGAAAAAAGAUGUAUACUAGAGAAACCACUUAAUACAUUUGCAGGGCUUGGGUUGGCAACAACAGCUGGGGACACUGGUACUCCUGCAGAUUAAUUGAGGGAUCAGAAUCAAAAAUAAAACACUUGGGGAGGAAUUUUUAGAAAAAGUGAACCUUUCUUCUUAGAAUCACUGAUGCUUGUCCUAUUCAUAUCUCUGGAACCACCGUUUAUGUCCCUUUUCUAGCGCAUGUGAAACAAGAGGAAAAUAAAAAAAACUUUAAUUAACCAUCUCAUGAAUACAUGAAGCAACCUAAUUCAUGAAUAUGUAUUUCACCUUUCCAGACACAUAACACAGUCAAAUAAAAUAAAAUUAAAUUCACUCAUUCAUCUAAACUAGUCACUUUUCAUUAUUUCUUACUAAUGUUAGCAUUCACAUGCUUUAUAGUAAGAUCAAACUAGACAAACCACUAUAAAGAACCAACCUUGGGAAGCACUGGGUUGAGUUUUUGAAGAACCUGAUCAACUCUCUCGGAUACAUCUCUCUGCAAGCAAGCUAAACGACUUUUGAAACCAAUCAAAACGACAGAGAGGGAGAGAGUUAAACAAUUUACCUGUGAAUGUUGAGUAGCAUUGAUUCUGCUAAAGCUCUCAUACUGAUUCCAAAAGAAAGUUAGUUAGAACUUAGAACCAAAAAAAAAUAAAAAAUCAAACAAUUAAGGAAACAAAAUGCUUACAGGAGUAGAUGGUUGGAGAGUGACGACGAGGCCUGAAGAUAAUAAACGUAGAGAUUAUCAGAUGAGAAUAGAUCUGAAACAGAGAUCGAAGAGAGAGAGAGAGUUACCAGGAGAGUGGAAGCUGUUGUGAAGGCCGAGCAAGAAAGCUAGAGGAACCAGCAUUGAUAGGAUCACAAGAACCAUUACUCCUAUCACCAGAACUUUCCACCGCCGUUUUCCUCCGCCGCCUCCUCCUCCUCCGCCUUUCAUUUUUUCCGAUUUAGAUUUCAAUCAAUCAAUGCCUUUUUCAAAUUACGAACCGCAUUGGAUCCCUAAAACGACGGCGUUUUAUCUCCUCUGAUACACACUCUCGUUCAAACACUCAAGUGCUGCCACUAUGCCCUGAUCGCAUUUGCGUGUUUGCUUGCUUGUUACUUGGAAGGAAGAAGGAAGAGAGAGAGCACACCCCAACACUUUCCUCGCACGUGUGGAACUGUCUCUGCCGUUUGAUUAUCCCAACCCACUUGCGAGAUCUAUCUCCUGAUCACGACACGUGUUAUUUUCACACGUGUCGUGAGUAUUAUUAUUAUUUAGUUCGUUUUUAAUAGUCUCGCCGGUAAAUCCUAAAACGCCGAGCAGGCCUAGCGAUAUUCAUCACCACCGUCAACGCCAUUGACAGCUUAUACACUUUGGUAAUCUCUCUUCCUCCUCCUCCUCCUCUGUACCAUGUAAAGAGAAUUGAUUGUGAAAGCAUAUGACUUUUUUGGUUUAAUCUACUUUGCGUUAUUUGUUUGUGUGGAUGUAAUGAAGGAGAUGAGCCAUCAAAAGAUUGAGACUUGAUGUUAUCACUCUCUCAUAUGCAUUGUUUAAGCUUUAUCUGUGUAAGAAUCUCUUGUCUUGUAUGGUCUGUCUGUUCUAAUGAGGUUUCUUUCAAUGCUGUUCUGUUUUCUUCAUGUGAUUCAGUGACUGCUACUUUUCAUUUUCGAACAUGUUACUGAUCGCGAGGAAAGCUUUGGGCCUUUAUGUUACUUGUUUGUUCUAAUUAUGAAAGAUUAAGCCUUUAUGUUAUCACUCUCAUGUGCAUUGCUUAAGCUUUAUCUGUCUAAGAUUCUCUUGUCUUGUCUGUUUGUUCUAAUUGGGUUUCAUUUGAUUCAGUGACUACUGCUACUUUUUGCGUUUCGAGCAUGUUAUUAAUCGCGAGGAAAGCUUUGGCCUUGGCGCAUAACAAGACUAUUCGUUUAACGACAAGGGAAGUGCACUGCUUAAGCUCCAUCUUACUCUCUCCUCCUCUUGUGUCUCUUGACUUGCCUGAAAAUUGGGUUCCUUACUCUCAUCCUCCAUCCCCUGUUGCCUUCGGUAACUCUCUCUCUCUCCCUCCCUCCUCUAGUGUAGUGCAUUGACUUCUGCAAUCUUAGUUGUACACCUUUUGUUCUCUGUUUACUACAGAGGGUGAACAGAAGACUGUGGUGAUUGAUGGAAAAUCUAUCGCAGAAGAGAUCAGAACGAAGAUUGUUAGUGAAGUGUGGAAGAUGAAAAACGAUGUUGGCAAAGUCCCUGGUCUUGCGGUUGUGUUGGUCGGCGAACAAAGAGACUCCCAAACUUAUGUGCGGAACAAGAUCAAAGCUUGUGAAGAAACUGGGAUUAAAUCUGUUCUGGCUGAGUUGCCUGAGGAUUGUACAGAAGGAGAAAUCAUCACUGUAUUAAAAAAAUUCAAUGAAGACACAUCUAUUCACGGAGUUCUCGUGCAGCUUCCUUUGCCCCAGGUGUGUUUCACAUUGCUUUUGUGUGUAAUAUGAGUCAUGACAUUGUGAUGGUGGAUGAUGAUAGUAUAUUGUGUGCAGCAUCUUGAUGAAGCAAAGAUAUUGAAUAUGGUGAGGUUAGAGAAAGAUGUUGAUGGGUUUCAUCCAUUAAACAUGGGGAACCUUGCGAUGAGAGGGAGGGAGCCGCUAUUCGUAUCUUGCACCCCUAAGGGAUGUGUGGAGUUGUUGAUCAGAGCAGGUGUUGAGCUAGCAGGAAAAAACGCUGUGGUGAUUGGAAGAAGCAACAUCGUUGGUCUCCCAAUGUCUUUACUAUUGCAGGUAUUAUUAGUUUUUUGCUAGUUACUGUGAUAGGCUUCUUAUGCUUGAGCAUUUAUUUGUCUUUGCUGACAUUAUUGGGUAGAGGUAUGACGCUACAGUAAGCACGGUGCAUGCCUUUUCAAAGGAUCCAGAGCACAUUACCAAGGAAGCUGAUAUUGUGGUUGCAGCCGCGGGUGUGCCUAAUCUUGUUCGUGGAAGUUGGUUGAAGCCUGGUGCAGUUGUCAUCGAUGUGGGGACAUGUCCUGUUGAGGUAUUCUGCUACAUAAAAACUUAGGUUAGAGCCUAAAUAAAGAGACCAAAUGUUUGUUCUUGGGUAUGAUGUUUGGCAGGAUAGUAGCUGUGAGCAAGGUUAUCGUCUUGUUGGGGAUGUAUGCUACGAGGAAGCGUUAGGUGUUGCCUCAGCGAUUACUCCUGUACCUGGAGGAGUCGGUCCCAUGACGAUUGCCAUGUUACUAUGCAAUACCUUGGAUGCUGCGAAGCGGACAUCCUUGUGAUAAAUAUAGCUAUCUCUGUCUUAUAACUAAAGAGUCCAUGUUGUUGGGGGGUUGAUCACAAAUUGACAAUCCCUUUUGAAUUUUGAAUUAUCAUGUUGUUACAGACAAUGGUUGAUGUCUGAUAUAGAGAAGCUCUUUGUCAGAGUAGAGUUUAAUGAUUUUGUUCUAGUAUCUGGUUUCUAGAUAACAGUGGAAUGUUUAUGUUUCAUUGGCGUUUACAAGAUGAGGAAGCCAUGGUAGUUAUGCAUGUGGUAGUUGUUGGAUCAUGAGUAGUAGUAGUUUGCAUGUGACGUCAAAGGUUGAAGAAUGAGUGAAGCAAGAUGUGUCACAUGAAGUAUCACGGAACAAAUGCUUGCUUCAAUCGUUACACGUGAUGUUGAAAGGGGAAUAUUCUAAAGACACUCUUUAAAUCCCUUUAACCCGGUUUGCAAUUUCGGUUUCAUCAGCUGUUAAUUUUUUAUUUAUUUCACUCUUAUCUCUCUCUUUUUCAUCUUCAAGAUAAUUAAAACAAACACAAAGUAACCUAAUCUUGAUUUAGACCACAUUUUCCAUUAAUCUAGUCAUGCCAAAAAAUGUAUUUAGAACACAUUUUGAAAAUCAAUACUCUGACUUAAAAUCUUUGAGUAAUCCAAUUUUAUUAAAAAUACCUUUAUAAUAAAAGAGAACAGCUGUCAAUUAGUGAUGAUUUUCUUAAGUAGAUUUCUAAACACUAAUAUAUUAAUAUUUUAAGAAAUUUUAUUUGUAUGAUUACAAUUUUAGUGUUUUAAAAAGAAAUAAUAAUUACUUAGCUUAAUUACUAGAGAACAACAAAUGGUAUAUCAAUCUAAUCUUUCAGCAUUUUUAUAGAUUCUUCAUAUUCUUACCUUUCUUUUAUUUUUUUCAUUUUUAAUAGUAUUAAAUAUCAUAGAAAAUUAGUACAACUUUUACAAUUACCAGAUUUGGUAACUAAAAUAUUAAUUAUUUACUAUCUAAAUCUGAUUAGGAGCCAAAAAUAGUGUUUUGUCAACCAAACCGAAUAACUUACACCCGAACCGGUUAUUUAUAAUCACCCAACAAGCCCAAACCAUCAAAUUUCAUUUCGGUUUAGCUGCAUCAUCCAUCUCCAGAGAAAGAAAAAAAAAUUAAAAUGCGAAAAGCAUAAAUAGGAUUCCGAUUCCGAGUCUCAAGUUCCAAAGAGAAGAAACAAACAUCUCCUAGAGAUAGCGAUCUCGGCGAACAACGUGAAGGGAAACAAACGACGAUCCGAGAGCGAGAGCGAAAAGCAUUUUCCUCUGAAAACAAAAAUGGUGUGGGAGAAGGAGAAGAUCGUCGGAAGCUGUAUAAUCGGAGGAGCCACGUUCGCCGUCGGAGCUACGUUCCUCCACCUCUUCCUCAAAGGCGAACUUCCUCUAGGCCUAGGGCUAGGCGCGCGUUUGGUCUCGUUCAGAAAGCGGAGGCCCGUUCGCGUCUACAUGGACGGUUGCUUCGACAUGAUGCACUACGGCCACUGCAACGCGCUGCGUCAGGCGCGUGCUCUCGGUGACCAAUUGGUCGUUGGUGUUGUUAGCGACGAAGAGAUCAUAGCUAAUAAAGGACCUCCCGUUACUCCUCUUCAUGAAAGGUCUCUCUCUCUCUCUCUCUAUUGGUUGUUGGUGUUGUUAGCGAUGAAGAGAUCAUAGCUAAUAAAGGACCUCCCGUUACUCCUCUUCAUGAAAGGUCUCUCUCUCGAUCUCAAUUCAUUUGUUAAGGCCGGUCCUGAGAUGGUGAAUAACAAUGUUCAACGAACCGUUAUACAGUACUAGUACUUGGUGUUUUAUAGGGGAUUAUUGAUUAGGCGGGCGCAUAAACAGACUUUUUUGAUGCCCACAUUGAUUUUUAAAGGCCGGUCCUAGAAUUUAAGGGACUUAACAAAUGGUGAAUAACAAUGUUCAAUUAACGGUAUGUAGUAAUUAGGCGUUUUAUAGAAGAUUAUUGAUUAGGCAGGCGCUUAAACGGAAUUUUUUUUAUUUCCACACUGAUUUUUAAAGGCUGGUCUUAGAAUUUAAGGGACUUAACAAAUGGUGAAUAACAAUGUUCAACGAACGGUAUGCAGUAAUUGGACGUUUUAUAGAAGAUUAUUGAUUAGGCAGGCGUUUAAACGGAAUUUUUUUUAUUCCCACACUGAUUUUUAAAGGCUGGUCCUGGAAUUUAAGGGGCGUAACAAAUGGUGACUAACAAUGUUCAACGAACCAGUUUUAUAGGGGAUUAUUGAUUAGGCGGGCGCUUAAACAGAAUUUUUUUAUGCCCACACUGAUUUUUAAAAUAAAUCGUUUUGUCUAGGUUCAAUCUUUGGCCUAAACGGGCAAGUAAACGAAGUCUAGACCAGUUUUUAGAAUACUAAUAAAUAAUGUGUAUAUAUAAGCCGAGACGAGGCGAAUGUUUCAUCUCAUUACGUCCAAAGCUGGCUUUGCCUUGUAUAACAGUGACAAUUACGGAUUAGAACUAAAUGAUCAAUAUAUAUAUGUCUUAAAUAAUUUGGGGGUAAAUGAUGUAUACAUAUUAACCAUAUGGGGCCUAGGCGGAUGUUUCAUCUGGCUAUGACCAAAACCGGCUCUGCCUUGUGUAUUUAGUUGUGUUGUAUGUUUAUUUUUUUUAUAUGGUUAUCUCAGGAUGGUGAUGGUGAAGGCUGUCAAGUGGGUGGAUGAAGUUAUAUCUGAUGCUCCUUACGCCAUCACUGAGGAUUUCAUGAAGAGGUUGUUUGAUGAGUACCAGAUUGAUUACAUCAUCCAUGGGGAUGAUCCUUGCGUUCUUCCUGAUGGAACUGAUGCUUAUGCAUUGGCUAAGAAGGCUGGGAGGUACAAGCAGAUUAAGCGCACUGAAGGAGUUUCGAGCACUGAUAUCGUUGGUAUAACUUACAUUCAUUUUAGCUCGUAUCAGCUGUAUUUGUUCAUCAAUUCAGGAUGCUUAGAGGAAAGUGUCUUUCUUUUCAUGUUAAGGGGAGAUACGAACUGCAUCAUGUUUAUGUAAUCAAGUGCCAUGAUAGCUUAGAUCUUGUGUAAUUACAUUCAAGUUUAUAAAUCUUUGCAGGUCGCAUGCUGCUCUGUGUAAGAGAAAGAUCGAACAGUCAUAGUCAUUCGUCACUGCAAAGGCAGUUUAGCCAUGGACAUAAUAGCCCAAAGUUUGAUGACGGAGGUUCCUCAGCUGGUACUCGCGUCUCACAUUUUCUUCCUACUUCCCGCAGGAUCGUUCAGUUCUCCAAUGGCAAGGUACGAGAGUCUUGAAGAGUGCCCUCUUCUCAAGUUUAGCUAUUGCAUAUUUGGAAUUGUGUAUAUCUCUAUUUAUUUCUUGAUGAUCUAGUUGGUUGAACUGGUAGGUACAUGACUCUUAAUUUCUAAUAGCUAUGCAAUUUCUGACUCUCUUUUUUAGUUGUUAUAAUUAUUAAAGAGAACGGGUGACAGCUUUCAUCAUCGGUAUGGGAACACUGUCUGGUUGAGUCUUGGUUCUUACCUUCUGAAACAUAAAUAGUUCACCCUGUCUAUGAUCAUUUCACCGAUUACCGGAUACUUUUUGUGUGUUUAUCUGUACUUUACCUAUUGAGUGACAGAAAGUUGCUUCGCAUCUCGUUUUAUUGCCUAUGUUAAUUCAUGCACGCUAGAUUAAACUUAAGAUUAUACUCUUUGGUUGAUUCACUUUUCUCCUCCUCAUUUUUUUUUAUCUGGGGUUGAUUAAGAGUACAUGAUUAUGGUGACAGGGGCCAGGACCGGAUGCACGCAUAAUUUACAUUGAUGGUGCUUUUGAUCUUUUCCAUGCUGGCCAUGUUGAGGUAUAGUACGUUCAUUUGGGGGCAGACAAUUUAGCCAUGUUAACUAUGUUUGUCGACCAGUCCAACUAGAAUUCCCUAAAUAUUUUUGAGGGAUCAUCCAUUUUAUUACGCCAAUGUUGUUAAUUCUUUUUUUUUUCUUGAUUAUUCAAUUGGUACAGAUUCUGAGGCGUGCUCGAGAGCUUGGAGAUUUUCUUCUUGUUGGGAUACAUAACGACCAGACUGUCAGGUUCAAGAAAGCUCAACUUUGGCUGUUUUCUUUAUAGUGAUUUUUAUGCAUAAAUAUAUAGCUCUUGUCCCCAUUCUGGAUUAGAUGUGCAUAAUUGCAUCCCUGCUUAAAUUCUUCUGAUCAAAUAGUACUUGUUAUACGUUGAUGUGCAGUGCUAGAAGUGGAGCGCGUCACCCAAUCAUGAAUCUCCAUGAAAGAAGCUUAAGUGUUCUGGCAUGCCGCUAUGUAGAUGAGGUGAUAAUUGGUGCUCCUUCGGAAGUGUCAAAAGAUACCGUGAGCUUUCAUUCUUUACUUAAUAAUAAUACACAAUGGACUUUCAUGAAGAGCUAUCUUUGACACUGAUUUGGAUGAUGCAGAUCACGACAUUUGACAUUUCGUUGGUGGUUCAUGGGACAGUAGCCGAGAGCGAUGAUUUUCAAAAGGUAAAACAAGAUUCAGAUGGAUUUUAUAUAACAAGGCAGUAUACAAAGAGUUUAUUUCUCAGAAUGUGUUUGUUGAUGAUCUGACACAGGAGGAAGGUAAUCCGUAUGCUGUACCAAUAAGCAUGGGCAUAUUCCAAAUCCUGGAAAGCCCUCUUGACAUCACAACCUCCACCAUAAUCAAGAGGAUUGUGAACAACCAUGAAGCUUAUCAGGCAAGUUGCUUUUCUUCUACCUCAUUCAUUUUCUUAUUGCAUCACUCUGACCAAUCUCUAACUUCAAAAUCGUUCUGCAAUUUUUUUAGAAACGUAACUUGAAAAAGGAAGCUAGCGAGAAGAAGUACUACGAGCAGAAGGCUUUUGUGACUGGCGACUGAUAGAAUCUUGAAAGCUUUGUAAGAGCAGACCAUCUUUGGGAUGUGAAUCUGUUUCUCCUUAUAUUUAUAUCUCCGUAGUAGUCCGUACUGGCUAUAGUAGGAUGUUUCUGCAUCAGACUCGAAUGCUACAUAGUAUUACAUUUUGUUCUCUAGUUUUUAAACAUAAAAAGGGCAUUGAUGAUUUUAGCACCAAAUGCUUCUUUUAUUUUCUUCACGUUUGGGAUGUUUCAUCUAACUUUCUACUUUCGUUUUUGCGUACUGCAAAUAUGUUAGGAUUGUAUAUGUUCACUAUCUGAAGAUAAAACGAUGAACUUCAUUAGAAAUGGUAAGUGCGGUUGAGUUUCAGACAGUGGUGAAACAGCCAAAUCUUGUCUCUUUGAAACUGAAAUCAGAGAGAGCAUUACAGUUUCGAAUCACAAAUGCAAUGAUAAAUUAGGAGAGGUCCCAAACAGGACCAAUCUCGCAGGAGUUUGAUGGUGCAAAUCAGGACAAGGGCUUGCUGGUCCCAUUAAUAGCCGGGACAAGGCCUCUUGUGGCCUUCACGUAUGAAAGGUAUUCACUAUAAUGCAUGCUGAAUAAUGUGCUCUGGUAUCUUGUUAGCUGGAUUCGCCUACGCACUGCCUCAGUUAUUUCACCAUUGUAUCCGGCUUUACGCACCAGAGAAUCUAUUGCCUCUAUCUUUGUCCAGCCUGCCAAAAACUAGUCAUGUAAGCUUUGAUAUAUAUAAUAGUAUGAGAUUCAAGUAUUGCUCCAAACAAUGCGAAUGAAUCCUCAGGUCUAGUCAAACAUACAAACACCUAAGCAAAACUGGUACCUUCAUGAGCAGGCACCUCAGGGAGAUAUGUGGCGUUUCGCUUUAUAUUAGUCACAGGUUCAGUGAAUUCAAUGAUUAUACCAUGCGUUCCCACCUUCAUAGUCAAAUCAGACAAAACUAAGUGAGUGGGAAUAUCAACAUGAGGGAUGUGACAGGAGAAGGUUUAUCAGAUGUGUGGAAUGACUAGCAUGCUACUACUUGUCGGUACUAUAUUCUUAUUUUAUGUUUAGAAACAGGAGACUAAGAUGAAGAGUGAAGAGUGAAGACAGUACCUCCCAAUCAAGAUAAUCCUCUGCAUCUUCAUAAUCAGUCAAGACGGACACCGUGCAUUGCAGAAACGGCAGUUCUUUGGGUUGGAUUGGUGGGAACCUACGAUCCCUCAGGGCACUGUGAUAUUACAUAAAUCAAAAAGGUACAUUUAUAACAAAUGACAUUGUACAGAAGAAAAAAAAGAGGUAGAUUAAGCUAAUGGGCAAACGCCAAGGAAUAUCAAAAUGUGUGAGUAAGUUACCUGGUCAAGGCAUAGUCCUUGAAGCCACUGAUCAAGCGGCGUGCUUCAAGUGUACCAAUACAUCCACGCAAACGAGGCUCCCCACCGUUCACUAUUUUCUUCCAGGUGACAAACAAUGGGCUACAAAGAAAACAACCACUGGACUAUGAGUAAGAGAAGAUGAUGUAAAACACCAAAUCAUCCAAUCUAUUCUACAUAUUUACUACUACUGACAACAAGUGGGAGAUGAACUUGCAUGUCACUAACAUAACAAACACAACAGGAGUUUUAAUGAAACGUACUGAUUGGCGUCGUCAAAGGCAGGUGGAGGAGAGUCUUCGUUGUUGUAGUGAGAGACCAAAGUGUCGAAACAGUACACAGCCAUCUCUUUGUUCGCCGACGCCAUUGUGUGCUUUUGAAGAAAACAAAAAAAAAACAAAAUUAGCAAGUAGUAUAGUGUGAACCUGAAAUUAUCCAAAAUCCAACUUAUAAAAAUACAACUACUAAGCAUGUGACUGGAUUUAUAUAAAAGGAUUAUUUUCCCCCACAAAAAGAGAUUUAGUUUAUGCUUACAAACACAACCCAACACAACCCAAAAACGAAUCACACAAAGAAUAUAGCAUUCUCAGAGAUAAACUAAUAAAAUAAUAUGAACACUGAAUAGUGACGAUGAAGAUUGGAGAAGUAAAUUGAUCGUUUUUUUUUCUAUAUAUAUUAAUAUAUAUAUGGGGAUUAAAAUCAAAAGCCACCACGAAAUCUAGAAGGAGCAUAGAGAGAGAUCUGUGAUAAGAAUUGAAAAGUUCAAACAGAUAGAGAAAUCAAUUGGGAGGAGCAUAAUAAGCGGAUAAAACCUGAGGAAAGCGCAAAAAGAAUCGAAGAUCGGUGGUGAGAUUGUUAAAAGUGUGUUUUAUGUUUCAGAAGCAAAGCUUUUCUUUUAAGACACUGACAAUUGUGUUUGGCUGGUGUGUCUUUUUCUUGAAGAGGACUUUAAUAACUACUAUUUUAUAUCAGACUUUCACACUUGGGCCCAUUAUCCGGACAUAAUACCUGGACCCAAUAUCCAAACAUAACACUCGGGCCCAAGAAAUUUGUAUUUUUUUAAAUAAAAUUAAGAAGUUUCAUAUAUUAUGUUUAUAUAUAAAAUUAAGAAAUUUGUAUAUUAUGGUUAACGGUGAUGGUUCGCGUGAAAUCUUCCUCUCGGUGCUUGCCAUGAAUGAUGAUGGAUGAGAUCACGAACAGUUUUUGAAAUUGGGUUCACUUGAGUUGAAGACGUUUGCGGUGGUAAUGGUGUGAAGUCAGUGAGCUCUAGUGGAUCCGGGUGAAUCGACGGUUGGUUAUCCGAUGUUAUUUCGAAACGAGAGCGAUGUCGGAGCUGCAGCGUUUGUCCGCGCGGCGGCAGAGCCUCGUGUGUCCUAGGGUUUCAUAGUUGAACCUUAGGCCCAAAAUUUUAUUGUAUUUUGGUCCGUUUCUUUGGACUUCUGUAUGUUGUACUGUAGGUUUUUUAGGCCCGUUAAUCAAAUAUCUAUUGAGGGACGGUACUAUAUUCUUAUUUUAUGUUUAGAAACAGGAGACUAAGAUGAAGAGUGAAGAGUGAAGACAGUACCUCCCAAUCAAGAUAAUCCUCUGCAUCUUCAUAAUCAGUCAAGACGGACACCGUGCAUUGCAGAAACGGCAGUUCUUUGGGUUGGAUUGGUGGGAACCUACGAUCCCUCAGGGCACUGUGAUAUUACAUAAAUCAAAAAGGUACAUUUAUAACAAAUGACAUUGUACAGAAGAAAAAAAAGAGGUAGAUUAAGCUAAUGGGCAAACGCCAAGGAAUAUCAAAAUGUGUGAGUAAGUUACCUGGUCAAGGCAUAGUCCUUGAAGCCACUGAUCAAGCGGCGUGCUUCAAGUGUACCAAUACAUCCACGCAAACGAGGCUCCCCACCGUUCACUAUUUUCUUCCAGGUGACAAACAAUGGGCUACAAAGAAAACAACCACUGGACUAUGAGUAAGAGAAGAUGAUGUAAAACACCAAAUCAUCCAAUCUAUUCUACAUAUUUACUACUACUGACAACAAGUGGGAGAUGAACUUGCAUGUCACUAACAUAACAAACACAACAGGAGUUUUAAUGAAACGUACUGAUUGGCGUCGUCAAAGGCAGGUGGAGGAGAGUCUUCGUUGUUGUAGUGAGAGACCAAAGUGUCGAAACAGUACACAGCCAUCUCUUUGUUCGCCGACGCCAUUGUGUGCUUUUGAAGAAAACAAAAAAAAAACAAAAUUAGCAAGUAGUAUAGUGUGAACCUGAAAUUAUCCAAAAUCCAACUUAUAAAAAUACAACUACUAAGCAUGUGACUGGAUUUAUAUAAAAGGAUUAUUUUCCCCCACAAAAAGAGAUUUAGUUUAUGCUUACAAACACAACCCAACACAACCCAAAAACGAAUCACACAAAGAAUAUAGCAUUCUCAGAGAUAAACUAAUAAAAUAAUAUGAACACUGAAUAGUGACGAUGAAGAUUGGAGAAGUAAAUUGAUCGUUUUUUUUUCUAUAUAUAUUAAUAUAUAUAUGGGGAUUAAAAUCAAAAGCCACCACGAAAUCUAGAAGGAGCAUAGAGAGAGAUCUGUGAUAAGAAUUGAAAAGUUCAAACAGAUAGAGAAAUCAAUUGGGAGGAGCAUAAUAAGCGGAUAAAACCUGAGGAAAGCGCAAAAAGAAUCGAAGAUCGGUGGUGAGAUUGUUAAAAGUGUGUUUUAUGUUUCAGAAGCAAAGCUUUUCUUUUAAGACACUGACAAUUGUGUUUGGCUGGUGUGUCUUUUUCUUGAAGAGGACUUUAAUAACUACUAUUUUAUAUCAGACUUUCACACUUGGGCCCAUUAUCCGGACAUAAUACCUGGACCCAAUAUCCAAACAUAACACUCGGGCCCAAGAAAUUUGUAUUUUUUUAAAUAAAAUUAAGAAGUUUCAUAUAUUAUGUUUAUAUAUAAAAUUAAGAAAUUUGUAUAUUAUGGUUAACGGUGAUGGUUCGCGUGAAAUCUUCCUCUCGGUGCUUGCCAUGAAUGAUGAUGGAUGAGAUCACGAACAGUUUUUGAAAUUGGGUUCACUUGAGUUGAAGACGUUUGCGGUGGUAAUGGUGUGAAGUCAGUGAGCUCUAGUGGAUCCGGGUGAAUCGACGGUUGGUUAUCCGAUGUUAUUUCGAAACGAGAGCGAUGUCGGAGCUGCAGCGUUUGUCCGCGCGGCGGCAGAGCCUCGUGUGUCCUAGGGUUUCAUAGUUGAACCUUAGGCCCAAAAUUUUAUUGUAUUUUGGUCCGUUUCUUUGGACUUCUGUAUGUUGUACUGUAGGUUUUUUAGGCCCGUUAAUCAAAUAUCUAUUGAGGGAUAUGUUUAUAUAUUUUAAUAUACAUAAAAUAUAUGCUUUUUUUUCUUUUUGAUCAAAAAAUAUAUGCUUUCAAAAUAGAAAAAUCAAGUUUGGUUCUCCAAAAACCAAAAUGUUGAAAUUUCGAAUAUUAUAUUCUCUUAUUUUUUAAUAUAUAUCCAUCCACAUUCAAAAUUUGGAGUUUCUCCAGUGCACAAAAAUCGAGAUAGGGAUACAAAAAAAUUCUAAAUUACCGCCAAAAUAACAUUUCUUUCCAAAACUGACACUCGCUCUCCUCCUUCAACACACACACAAUCUCUCCUCGGGAUCUUCUUCACCCUUCAUCCUCUCUAGGGUUUCCCCCCCCAUCGUCGCGGAAAAAAAAAAGAAAGAAGAAAAUGUCUCUAUCUUCAUCCACCACCACCACCACUUGCACUUCCCUCCUCCAAGAACUACAGGUUCGAUUUUGAAUUCCCACGAUUCAAUUGAUCAGAUUCAAUUGCGUCUUGUUCUGUAGAAUUGAGAUUGUUUUUUUUCUUAUGCAGAUCAUAUGGGAUGAGAUUGGCGAAGGCUACAGCGAGAGAGACAAGAUGCUGCUUGAACUCGAGCAAGAGUGUCUCGACAUAUACAACAAGAAAGUUGAGAAGACUCGCGAUCACAGAGCUGAGUUGCAACGAUCGUUAUCUCAAUCCGAAGCUGAGAUCGCCACCCUCGUGUCUGCGCUCGGUGAACAAGCCUCCUUCUCGAAGAAAGAAGGCUCUUUGAAGGAGCAGAUCUCUUCUGUGAAGCCUGUGUUGGAAGAACUGAUGGUGAAGAAGGAUCUGAGAUGGAAGGAAGUGUCUGAGAUAGUGACGCAAAUAGCUGAGAUCUCUUCUAACAUUGCGGGGAAUGAUUCUCUUGUUAGCUCUGGUUUUGAAGUUGAUGGAAGUGACUUGACGAAGAGGAAGUUGGAUGAGCUUAGAGCUCAUCUCCAGGAUCUUCGCAGUGAAAAGGUGUUCUUAUAGAGUUAUAUGUUAGAAAGAGUAUUAUGGUUAUAGGGCUGUUCGUUUGGUUGCCGCAGGUACCGGCAGCGGCAGCGUCAACGUUCUGACGCCGCGUCUGAACACCGCGUCCUGCGACUGACGCCGAUAAAACCUGCGAUCCCCGUAUAAUAUGCGGCAGCGGUAGCGUCAGCGUCUGCGAAACGAACAACAACUGUCCUCAUUGACGCUGUCGCUGCCGCUGACGCCGAAACCUGCGGCAACCAAACGAACAGGGCUUAUGUGUGCUUAUCUUUUUUUUAUUUUUUUUUCAGGCUGUUCGGUUGCAGAAAGUGAACUCUUAUAUCAGUGCUGUCCAUGAGUUGUCAGAGAUUCUUUCGUUUGAUUUCUCCAAGGCGUUGAGUAAUGUUCAUAAAAGCCUUACCGGGGCUUCGAAAAGCAUUAGUAAUGAUACUCUUGCUAGAUUGACAGAGCUUGUAGAGUCUCUGAGGAAGGAGAGACGUCAGAGGCUGCUUAAGGUGAGCAAAGAAAAAAUACUUUCUCAAUUGUUUGGAAAACUAGUAGGGAUUGAUACCUUUGAGAGAUUCUUGUUUAUUUCAGCUACAAGGUUUGGGAAGAAACAUGCAAGAGCUGUGGAGCCUGAUGGAAACAACUGCGGAUGAGAGGAGAAGAUUUGACAAUUUGAGUAUCUUGCUUUCUGUUCAAGCUGAUGAUGCCUUGGGAAAAGGAUGCCUCGGUCUAGACAUUGUCCGAGAGGUAAUGUCAUCAUAUCAUAUUCAUUUGUUCUCAUCUGUCUGAGUCAGCGAGUAUCAAACUUUUGAUUUAAGUCUAACAUUUUGGUUAUAGGCUGAAGAUGAAGUGGAAAGACUGAAUGCCCUGAAGUCCAGCAAGAUGAAGGAGUUGGUUCUGAAGAGGCAUUAUGAACUAGAAGAAAUCUGCAGAGAGGUUCAUAUGGAUUUCAAUAGCGAUGCUGCAAGACAGAGUCUUAUCGACGUCAUUGACUCUGGUACCAUACUAUUCCUCUCUUGUAGGCUGACUAAUUAAUUAAGUACAAACUGUUUUCUGACUAAUGUGAAAGUACGAUGGACAUGGCUCCGCAGUUAAGUUACUAAUGUAUGGUUUAAAGUUAUAUAUUUCAUUGAGUGUGCAGUGACGAAGGUUUCCUUUGCAGGUGAUGCUGAUCUGUUUGGUAUUCUGGAAAGCCUAGAUGAGCAGAUCGAGAAGGCAAAAGAGGAAGCUUUAAGCAGGAAGGAAAUUUUAGACAAAGUUGAAAAGUUGAAGCACGCAAAGGAAGAGGAAAAAUGGCUUGAUGAUUAUGAAAAGGUGACUACCACAUCGCGUUUUAAUAGCUAUAUUUUAUGAAAAUAGGUAAAGAGAAGAUCUAUGGACCUUGGAACUGAUUGUGAGCAUUUAUCUGAUGAAAUAUAUUUGUCUUAAGAUUAACUGCAGAGAUUUUUUUUUGUAUAGUUUUGGUGUUAGAGAGUAUCUCAUUUUGUGUGAGUUUCCUAAAAAACUAGCUUUGUAUACGUAUGUGAUAUUGAUUGUUUCUUGUAAUUUGCUUUCUUAACAGGAUGAGAAUCGCUUUAGUGCUGUAAGAGGAGCGCACAAAAAUUUAAAACGCGCGGAGAAAGCUAGGAGCCUUAUCAGCAAAAUUCCUGGUGAGUCUUUUAUACAUGCAUUACUUGAUUAAUGCAAGCAAGUCUGUCUUCUGGAAUUGGUAACUAGAUAUCCCUUUGGAUUAGUUUUCAAUAAUCUUUUUUCUUUUCAUUCCAAGAUUCUUAUUAUUAACAGCUCAACUAGAGGACAGUUCCUUCCAGCUUAAACUCAAAAACUCAUUGUUAGAUGUUUGGAGUUUCUGAUGUUUUUCUUUGCACUGGUUAGGGUAAAUAGUGUUUGAAGGUAGUAAUAGUCAGUGCCUGAUUCAAAUCAAGUGAAGUUUCUGUAGCCUUUUUGUGAUGCUUAUUCAUCCCUCCAAAAGUAGUUGAUGUUUGUCUGUUGUAAAACUGAUCGGUCUUGAGAUGACAUUAACCUCUUAUGUUUAUUUUAUAAGCAAUGAUCGAUGGUCUGACCACCAAAGUGAAGGCAUGGGAGAAAGAAAGAGGAGUCCCCUUCCUAUGUGAUAAGGUAACGAACUGUACAUUUACUCAACUGUCCUUUUUAUGGUUUGAUUCAGCUUAUGUGAGUUAUGACUUUUUCGAUCCAGCACCCGUUGUUACAAACACUGGAAGAAGAAAUUGUUUUGCGUGCUCAAAGAGAGGAGGAAAAGCGUCAGUUCCGAGUAUGUGUGUUAGUCAAAACAAGGAUUUGUAGACAAUCACUGUGGUCUUGAACUAACACUUUGUUUGUUUUGCGUAAACAGGAGCAGAAAAGACUACAAGGUCAGCUUGCUACAGAGAAAGAAGCAAAGUAUGGUUCAAAAUCUGCAAAGAAGAAGCCAUUGGGACAGAGUCUUAACACAGACAAUGUGACAAAAACACCACUUGGUCGUAGGGUUGGGACUACACCUGGCCGUUCUGGUGUCAAAGAUUAUAGAGAAAGCGGCAGAGGCAAUGCCACCGCGAUACCGCUGAACUAUGUCGCUCUUCAGAAAGAAGAUUGAUUGAUACUAGAUACUAGAAAGGGGGUUAGGGUUUUACAUAAAGCUACAUUACAUGUUGAUGAGCUGAUAGACUUCUUAUGUGAUUCUUUUUGGUUUCUAGUUCCUUUUGCUAAUGAUGUUUUCAGAUUUUAGUUGGUAUGAAUAUGAAGUGUCACAUUUUUACUCAUAAUAUCCAAACCAAAGUUUAAAACAGGCUUUGCUUCUGGAAAUGAUGUCAAUUCAAAAACCAUCUGUCACAAUGCAUAAGGAUUACAACUAAUAAGCUCAGGGUUCUCACUACAUUACUCCUUCAGAAGAAAAGUUUUUUUCAAGUAGUGUUUCGGGUGAAAAAAAGCUUGUCACAUCUCACCACACUCUGUAAUUACAACGGCAAGCUUAGGGCGGUUGUUUGGUCCAACAGCAACGUUCUCAAUCUUCCGCAUCACCAAUAAGCCAUCUCCAAGCACCCUCUGUACAUCACAAAGAAGAAUUUGUAAUGAGUCAUAACAAAACUAUUACCAAACAUAUGUGCACAAGAGUUCAUGAUUCAGUGCCUUCUGCCUCAACUAUCUAUGGCUUUUAAGUUUCUACUAUUAAUCGAUGGAAGAAAACUGAAAAGCUUCUGGUUCAAUCAUAUGCAAUACGUGUGUAAGUGAAAAGAGAACAUACCCCAAAGACAACAUGCUUGUUGUCAAGCCACUCGCAUUUUGCACAGCUGAUGAAGAACUGCAAUGCAAAAGAGCAAAGUUUAAUUAUAGCCUUAAAUGAUAACAUAUAUAUAUAUGAUGGCCAACCAAGUAACUAUACUUCUUUUUCUAAAGCUAAAGUUUAAUAAAUUAGAUUAGCACCAUAGCCAAUUAGCCAUUACAGUUUAGCGAUUAUAUUGAGACAGAAAUUACCUGGCACCCAUUUGUGUCUGGCCCACUAUUUGCCUAUAACAAAAGAAGGAGAUGAGCAAAAUUAGCGAUCAAAGUCAUGCGUAUUAUAUCAGAAAGGUAAUAGGGCUGUUCGUUUGGUUGCCGCAGGUACCGGCGGCAGCGGCAGCGUCAACUCUUGUUCGUUUCGUUGAUGCAGGAAGUUGCGUCUGACGCCACUGACAUAAUAUGCGGCAGCGUCAGCGUCUGCGAAACGAACAACAACUGUCCUCAUUGACGCUGCCACCGCCGCUGACGCCGAAACCUGCGGCAACCAAACGAACAGGACUAAUAGCAUACCAUGGAGAGGAGUCCAGGUCCGGUAUGUUUAGCAGUAAAAUUCUCAUCAUCGAACUUGUGACCAUAAAUGGACAUGCAUCCAUUACCAUCAUUCUGCACAAGAGUUGAACAUGUUUGAGCAUUUAGUUAAACAAAGAAGCUGAAGCUCUAUAUGGAGGCAAAAGGAACAGACCUUAAGAAAAUCACCACUCUGAAUCAUAAAGUCCUUGAUGACCCUGUGGAACUGACACUCCUUGUAACCAAGAGGCUUCCCAGCCUUUCUGCAUUUUUUACAUUACACCCACCAGAUAAAAAAAAAAAGGUUAGCUUUUUAAGUAGCAAGGUGAUAAUAUGAUCUACGCUUAGCUAGCAAAGUGCAUCAAGACAAGAUUUUGAGACAUGCCCAUCUCACAGAAUCCAAAAAAAUCGAAUGUACCUGAGUUCACCAGUACAGAACUGCCUGAAGUUCUCGGCGGUUUUGGGGGCGAUGUCGGCGAAAAGCUCCAUCUUGAUGCGACCCGCGGGGAUGCCGCCGAUAGAGACGUCGAAGAAGACGACUGGGUUUUUAGGGUUCGGUGGUCUCACGUGCCACUCCACGUUUCCUCCGCCGCCGCUUGACGGAGCUGAGGCUGGUGCUGGUGGUGCAGCUACGAUUCCUCCUGCUCCAGAACUCAUCGCAACUCAAAAAGCUAAGAGAGAUACUUUCUUCCUUCCUUCCCCGUUCUCUGAUCAAGGAACCUACUUGGGCUUUUAAAUUCGAACCUAUUUGGGCUUAUAUUCGAUCCUACUUGGGCUUAGAUUCCAAGUGGUGAAAUGAAAGUUGCAAUACAACCCUCCAACUGUCUUUGUCUUUUCAAAUUUACCUUUUUACUUAUGAACAUUUCAAUGUAACCCUCUGAAAACUUCUACAAGAAUAAGCUGUGAAGAGGAACUUGAGUGUCACUACAUCAUUCAUCAUGUAAGAGACUACCUUAAUGCUCUCUAUUAGAAUGCACAAACUCUUUACAUUUUCAAACCACUAAGAUUUAAACAUAGGGAAACAUGUUUAAUAUAGCCCUAUUAAUCAUACAUAUAUAUAUAUAUCUUCAGUCGUCACGUAACCAAAUAAAAACAGAGGUUUUAGUAUUCUUCCAUUGACAAAAUGCAUGUGGUUUACCAUACAAAACAAUAUUAUUGAAAGGUAAGUUACCAACUUAGAAUUGAGCAUGUAAGAGUUACAUACGUCAAAAGAAAAUAGAAAAAGACAGCUAAAUUUGAUAAUUUGGAAGUUGGAGAAGCUCCUCCACUGUCAUAAAAAUCCCCAUUCAACAAAAGAUAAAAAAAGGGUCUGCUCAUGCGUGCGAUGGCUAGACAAGUGAGACAAGACUUCUAAGAACUCUUCUUGCUAUCAAGCUCCUCCAACACACCCAACAGUUUCGGAUCCGCAUAGUUCUCUAUAAGAAAAGCAGGUCUAGCUUGCAUCAGCACGCUUGCUGGAUUCCCUGUGGUAAGUCCAACCACAGGCAUUCCAGCCGCAACUCCAGCUUUUAUCCCAGAGACCGAGUCCUCGAACACCAGCGCAUGCUCUUUCGACACGUUAAGCACUUCGAGAGCCUUCAAGUAAGGCCCCGGGUGUGGUUUGGGAAACUCACAUUCAGAGCCGAGAAUCACUGCCUGGAAGAAAUCAGUGAGACCAAGUUUCGAUAUGAUGAGCUCUGCGUUCUCUUUUGGAGCGUUUGUCACGGCGGCUCGUUUCAGUCCACGGUCUUCGAUCCAUUUGGUUAGUUUUAGAAGUCCGUCAAGUGGCUUUACCUUCUCUGCUACGAGUCUAACCAAAAAAACAAAGUUAACUUGAUAGUCAAGACGGUUCGGUGAUUUUCGGGGGAUAUAAACAAUUUAGUAAAGGUUUUUAUAAGAUAAUUUUUAUACAAAUUUAAAAACCUAUUUCUAUGUAAAUUAAUUUCAAAAUUUUGAAAGUUAUUGGCCUAUGUGUUCACUUGGCUAUGCUCAGGACAACUAGAGGUGAAGCCAAGGCAUCAAUUAUGGUGGCAUGUACAACCACAAAAUAUUGAAAAGAAAUUUAGUGUGCCUAAUCAUAAAAUGCCAGCUAGAUUAGAUGGUUAUAACGAUAUUGUGCACAAAUAAUAAUGUUCUCGGGUUCAAUAACCAAUUUGUCAUUUAUUCAAUUUUAGUACAAUUAUCAAUUAAAUCUUUCUAGAUUCGCCCCUGAGGACCACCCAUAUCAAUAGGGAAGCAAUUUUUAAGACAGAAACGUGACUUACUUGCGGAAGAGAGCUUCCUUGUCCUCGCAAAACUUUAACCCUUUAGCAACAUCAUCAGGGAAGAGAACGAGAGCAAUCUCAGAGUUGUGUUUUCCAGCAAUGUUGGCAAUGAAGAACUUCUCGUCGAUUGGGACACCAUUGUUAAAACCAAUCUGUGAGUGAUUCAAGAAAGCAACAUUUUGAGACAAGAACUUGAAUGUAAGUAAGUAUUAUAUAAUAAGGUUCCAAAGCUGAAGAUAUUAUUCAAAAAGGAAUUAAUAACCUGUUGGAGCAGUUCUUGGAAGGCGAUAAGGUGGAUGGGAUCAGAGUCACAGAGUGUUCCAUCAACAUCAAACAGAAUGGCUUCUAGUGGAGCAAGAUGUGAGAGCGAUGGUUUGCUGCUUCACAACAGAAAAAUGAAAUAGAGUUGAACAAAAAUAACAACGUAUAGAUCAAAAUCUCAACAUAAGGAUCAAAUUUGUUAUUAUAUCUAUCAUCUAGCUUUCAGUUUGGUCUUGAUAAUAUAAGGAGAAAGAUCGCAACAGUUUUGUACCAUCAGAUCAUGCAUACAUAUAUAAUAUAAGUUAUCAUUGACUCUGAAAGUAGGAUCAAGCACGUUACCUCUCGGAAGAAGUGAGAUCAGAGAAGCCAUUCAUUGCGAUGAAACAGAGAAACAAAACCGGAUCUGUGAUUGCAGAGAAGACACCAACCAAUAGCUUUUGAGUUUUGAGAGAAAGUGCGAAGAAUAUUAAAAGGUACAAAAUGGGAAUCAAAUGGGUGCACGUCAGAGGAAGAUUCGGCCGGGGCUUUUUCAACACGUGGUGCCUUUUGUAUUUUUUAAUAACGAACGCAUUAUGCCAAAACUGGAAACCUGGAUUUCAUACCGUCUUCCGGUUUAGAUAAUUCAUUUGAAUUUAUUAGGCAUUUUGGUUGAAGAGGCGGGUAUGAUAAGAUCACGAACAAUAACCUAAGGAAAAUAUAUGAUUUUGUCUUUUAAUAUGAAAAAUAAAGUUUUAUAAAAUUACAUAUAGUAACUAAAAUAGUAUGAAAUUUAUAAAAUUACAUCAUAAUCUGGACAAUAUCUUAUUCUGUAAUUUAUUUAGAGUUUUUAGAUAUAGUUUUUUUUUUAUAUAAUAAAAACAAGAUUGCAACUUUUAUUGGUUGGCGAUUCAAAUUAAAACGGAAUGAAGUUUUGAACAGGUAUUUAACGACUUAUUAGCCGAUUAAGGGCUUGACUGGUUCAAACGCAGCAGUUACGGUUGCGGUUGCGGGAGUUUGUGGAUGCAUGCAGUUGCGGUUUCUAGCGGUUUUAACAGAUUUGUACGAUUGUUACUGCAGUUAAAAAUUGAUGCGUUUGCGGAUGACUUAUGACUGGUUAACUACCAAAUGCGGUAGGUUCGAAGCGGGUUAGAGCGAUUUGAGUGAUUGUUGCAAACCGCCGACAACCGCUACCAACCGCAAAAGCUCGUUUGCGGGUCGUAGCGAGAAAACCAGUCGCCCCCUAAUACCACCCUUCAUAUGUCAAAGAUCCCCUCUAAGUGUUCCCCUACAACACAUUUACUUUUAUACUAUGACUAGACUUUCACAAGUUUUAAAUAUUUUGCAACUCAUGAUAUUUUUUGUGGGUUUUUUUAAUCAUUAUAGCUCUUUUUUUAUUGAAUAAGUGAUGAUGCAAUGGUUCUCGUUUAGUGAAAACAAAUACAUGUUGUCUCUAAAAAAAUUUAACAGAUCCAAAUGACAUCUAGUCGUCAUCUGAAUAUCAUGUUCAUGUGCAUAAAAGUGUUAUGUUUUCAUAUAUUGGAAUCGUGAUCAUAAUUAGACAUGAAAACAGAGUUUAACAUGAACACACUCUUUUUCUCUCACUGAAUCAUGUCACCAACGACAAGAACUCUUUAUUAUCAAAUCAAAAGGGUAUAGAAAACGCAAAUGUUGGAAUAGAAACACAACCAAAAGGAAACCAAACGUUUAGUAACAAAAAGUCUUGAGAAUACUUUCUCGACCGAGAUCAGUUCGAUUUGGAUAGCAGUGUGAGCAAGAAAUCUCUGUAGUUUCCUCUAAUCUUCUCUUGAAUAUUUUGGGCUAACGUCUCACCGUAGCGCUGAUUAUACUCUUCUGCGAUCUCCUUCAUCUCAUCACUAUGAUCCGCUCUCGUAACGAACACUCUUGUCAACCAUUUCUUGGUGCCCUUGUCCGCAUCUUUGUUCAAAGACGCAUUCAAAAUCUAGCACCAAAGAAAUAAGAGACUUUAUUAAAACAUUAUUUUGUCGUUAUUAAAAAGAAAUAUUAGAAGUUUAUAUACGAAAAUACAUGUGUAACCAUAUAAGUUUAUUGUGUUACAAAAAAAAACCAUACAAGUUUAUUACCUUGCUGAAGUACACAGAGGGUUUGAGCAAGCAAAGCAAUGCAUCAUUGAGGAUUGAAGAGUCAGAUACACCCUAAUGAUCAUGCCACAAGAUUUUCUUGACCCAUUAGAAAAUUUAUACAUGUGAUUACAUAAAUAGUAUAACAAGUGUAAGGAGUCAUAUAUAUGUAUGUUACCCCAAGAAGAUCAGAGCCAUUGAUUUGGUUAAAGUGUUUGUAGAGUUGUUGGAUAUGAAGUUUGCUUCUUGUGCUCAGAAUCCUAACAACCUCAUCAUUCUCAAUGGCUUUCUCUCCUGGAGAAGCCACCGCCUCGGCCAAAAUCUUAGCGUCAGAUUUAGCUAAAUCAUCCUUCACCUUGUUCCCUUCGUAUCUGUAAGCACUCACGAGGCCUACAAGCAGCUGCAUGCACAAACACAUACAAGAGACAUGCCAGUGAGUAAGAAGAGAUCUAGAGAGAUCAGGUGUGGGGGGGUGUAUGGUAAGAAAGAAUGUUACUACUGACCUUGCGGCGAGAGCCGUGGAUGUUAGAGGCAAUGUCUUCUUCCAUCGACUGGUCGAAGAGUGAGUGGUAAGCUUUGCGUGCGCCUAGGAGAUCAUCAGAGGAGCGAGUGCAUGCCACCUCCACGAUGAGGCUGUAACAUUCAUCUCCUUUCUUCAGUGCUUUCUUCACCACCCUUGCGUCUCUCUCCCAUGGAUGCAUCGACCACAUGACCACCGCAUUCUACACAUCAUAUAGACUAAACGUUCAUCAUUUCCAUGGAGUGAUAAGGUUUACCUAUUUUUCUCUUCAUAAGGAGUGUCUUAUUAGGACUUCGUUAGGAAACGCGAAAGGACCAAUACUAGUAGUUUAUCAAAGUUCAUUUCUUGAGAUCAAAGCACAUGAUACUUUACAGAGUAUUUGAUAAAAAAUUAUAGGAAUAUAUUCUUCGUCAAGUAACAAGCAUCUACAUCUCUAACCAAGUUCUUGAGAGUAUAUGAGUAAAUUCUUCAUCACGUGUUCUUGAGAGUAUAGGAGUAAAUUCUUCAUCACGUAACAAAUAGCUACUACAUCUCUAACAAAUCGCACACUAAAUAGUUGCAUAACAAACAAUCAAUGAAUACAAAAGGAUGAUAAUGAGCUAGUUGUUAAUUUGUUAAUGUUAAUUACUCUAAUAUAUAAAUUCAGAAAUUUUAGAUUUUUAGUCUUUCACUAAACUGAAAUAAAUUGUUUGUUUUGUACUUUUAUUAGGAAAAACAAUGAUUGGUUUGUUAUUAGGUAAGAAGUAAGAAUGGUGGGAAACUAGUUAAUUAAAUAGAUUGAAAUAGCAAUAACUUUGCCAAAAACAACUAUAAUAAGUAUUAAUAAAAUAUAUUUUUUUUAGAAAAACCAGAAAACGAAAGAUAAAAUUUGAAAAGAAAAAAGAAAGAAAGAAUGAAAGAUGUAAAGUUUUGCCAAAACAAAAAGAAUUAAAUAGUACAACUUUUGCCAAAACAAAAACUAGAAUAUAUAGUAAUAAAAUGUUAAGAAAAGAUAUAUAAAUAGAAACCCCAGAAAAUGAAAAAUGUAAAGGUGUAAGAAACUGACAUUGAAGCGGGAGAACUCAAGCUUGAGAUGUUUGACAAAUUGAUCAUGGCACUUCUCAAAAGCUCUUUCUUCAUCUUCCUCAAAGAAACCUUUGCUUGCUUUCCUAAACAACUUUCGAUGAUCCUUGUGUGAAUUCCCCAGUGUGCUUAUCAAUGCUUUCUCAUCAACUCCCAUUCCUACAUUUUUUCCUAUAUGAUAUCCAACAUAAUUGAUUAACCUUCAAAAUCAUUCUUAAUUGGUUUUCUCACGAUUUUGACAUUCACUGGUUUGCCAAAAUUGACUUUUAAGAAGUACCUGAGAAUGCGUCAACAAUGCUUUCAAGAUCGAGUGUGUGAGCCAUUUAUCUUAAUGUUGUUUUUUUUCUAGCUUUGAUUUGGUUUUUGUGGAGAGCUAUUGAAGAGACACAAGUCAUUUUAUAUGAUGCGGGGAUUAUAGAGAAAAGGGUGUUUUCGGUAAUCAAUAAGUAUUUGUUUAGUUUAAUAGUUUCGUGUUCAGAUUUAAGACAAACGCUAGGUGCAUUGUUGUAACAAGAAGUAACGCUCACGAAAUUUAUUAUUUUACAUCUUUUAAGUUUUAACAACUGUUUUGCAAGCACAAAUUGAAUUACAGUAAUCCAAGACAAAUUAAAACUUACUGUUUUUUUUUGUUUAAACUGAAUUUUUUAAGUUUGACCAUUACAUAAAACGGUCAGUAUAUACAAUUAUACAUAUAUCAUCAUAUCUAUAAUUAAGUAUUGUCUUUGCGUUUCAAUCUAAUAUAGUAAAUAUAAUAAUUUUAUCUAAAAUGUAUAAUCAUUUCAAAAUUUGUUUUUUAAAAUACUUUACUAUAUUAUAUAAAAUAGUUACAGGUUAUAGAUACAUAUGUUAUAUAUAGUAUGAACAGUUUGAAUCAAAAAAUAGAUUUAAGAAGUUAAAAAACAAUUAAAACACUAGACAACAUAUUUUAUGUCGUGAUCUAAACUUGCGUUAGGAAAUUUACAACAAAAACUAAUCAUAAGUAACACCUGCAUGUGCUCUGGCAGAUAAUAUAAGAUACGAUACAGAAGGUUAAGAUCCAUGUGAUUUUAAGUAGGUCGAAUCUCAGAUAAUUAAAAUAAUAUAAGACUAGGAAAAGUCAACUACGUGGGAUUCACUCCAUCUUAAACGAAUGUCAGAUAACAAUUACAAUGAAUAAACAGAUGAAACGAUUAAGUUGUAGAGGUUUGCAUGUAUAACGUUAUUGGAUGUUAAAUCAGAAAAGGGCGAUCAAACCAGCAUUCAUGAGUUGGCUUCGUUUGUUAUAUUAUGAUUCCUGGAAAAAAAUUAAGACAAAAAGUAAAUAUUGAAUCAUUUGGUACGUGCGACGAAGUUUCAAAGAUCAUAAAUCUUUCACAUAAAUAAACAAAAUAGGUUCGAAGAUCAUGGCAAGCUCUUCUUCUCUUAAACUAAUAUUAAUGUCUUCUGUAAGGUUUGAUGCGUUCUCAAUUUGUCCAGACUGUCUCUCAGCGAUUCAAAGGAGUAGAUGAGAAGCCUCCAUCACGUUUCCUUAACGAGGCUAAUAAGUGAUUAGGUUAUUAAUAUACAACAAGCAUCACACAUUCGCAUGGUGUUUAAAAUAAAAUAAAAUAAAUUAUUGCUGCAUAUCUGUCAUCGGGGUUGUACAAAAACCUUAUUUUUUGGCAUACCUUCAUAUGUCCCUAUCUUAAAAGAAAUAUUUGGUCAACCAAAUUAAUAUAUAGCUAAAGACAUGGUGUGUCGUUUGCAGACGUGCAUAUAAACAAGAUCACGUUUAACACGACGAGACGACUUCACAAUAAUUUAGAGGGGACAGAAUAGCUGUGUCUAUAUAUGAUUUGCAUUUCGCUAUCUCUUUUAAUUUGAUUUGGUUAAACUUAUUCCUCAGUCAUAAGAUCCCGUCAUUUUCUAUCCUCUUAAAUCUAAUAUAUACGCAUAUGUCACAGAGGCAGACAUGCUGUUGACUUGCAACAUAGUUUUUCUUUUGGCUGGAAUGUGAAUAUCAUUAAGUAUGAAAAGUUUAGGUUUUUCAAUAUAGCCUAUCUAAUGUAAGUGUUUGUUGUAAGAAAAAAGAAGAAGAAAUAAAAACAAGGAGAACCUAGUUCAUAUAUACAAACACAAAAUAUCCCUAUUUUCUUGUUAAAAACAUUUGAUAGAAGUAUAUCAUCGUAUUAUAUAUUGUUGACGUGUAAGUUUUUCUAUCUGAUGAAUUGCAUACACAUUGGGAUUAUUUUAAAUUUACACUAGUGUGAAAAUUUCAUAUAUUCUUUAAAAGUAAUUAUUUAGUUACAAUUUAAGGAAAUGAUGAAAUCAACAUUUUUUUAUGAACUGAGGCUUUCUAUUUAAAUGUAAAGUUGUGCAAUGGACAAUUCGAAGAUAAUUUCACUAAUUAGUUGCGAUAAAUUAACUUUUAGAAAUUUUAUUUUCAUUAAUCUAUAUAAAUGAAUAAAUUAUUUUUAUGGAUUCAAACUUUAAUUAUUAUUUUUAAUGAAUCCUUAGUUAGAUUAUUGGACUAAGGAGAUUUUCAUAAUUAAAACAUAUCUUAAAGAGCUACUUGGUGGUGGGUUAAGUGGUAAGUAAUAGAUAUAUGGGACCCUAGAUAUAUUAAGAAAAUAGUUAUAGAAAUAUGAGUUUGACUACUAAGUAAUACACAAUUAUUAUUGAACCGUCAUAUUCAACUUCUUCUUCGAAAUUAGAAAAUAUUAUUACAGUUCAAUCAAAAAAGCUAUUAUUACAGUAACGUCUUAAGGGGUAUUUACGUCAAAUAAGAUUCCCUGAUUACAUAAUUACACCCAAGUAAAUAACGGAUUCAGACGAAACAAGAGAGAUAAAGAAACCAAAAGAGAAACAUCUCUCAAAUGGCCACCAUUAGAGUACCAGACGAAGUUCCUUCUCCAGCUCAAGAUUCCGAAACUCUCAACCAAGCUUUCCGCGGUACGUUUACCAUCGGUUUCUGCAUUUUUGUGUUGUGUGUGGUUCUCUCGAAACAAGAUGUAUUGUCUGUCUUUGUAGGAUGGGGAACAGACGAGAAGGCGAUCAUACGCGUCUUAGGAAAAAGAAACGAGAGUCAAAGAAAAAGAAUCAGAGAGAGUUACAGAGAGAUUUACGGCAAAGAUCUUAUUGAUGUUCUCACCUCUGAACUGUCUGGUGAUUUCAUGGUACUAAAACAUUGAGGUUAUAGAUUGUUUGUGUAUCUUCUAUAACGUGAAAACAUGAAAACUUGUGAUUGUAUUCGCAGAAAGCUGUGGUUUUAUGGACUUAUGUUCCAGCAGAGAGAGACGCAAGGCUAGCUAACAACGUCUUGAAUGGGAAGAAGAAAAGCAUAGAGAAACUUAAGAUCAUCGUAGAGAUCUCUUGCACAACUUCUCCUAACCAUUUGAUUGCUGUGAGGAAAGCUUACUGUUCUCUCUUCGACUUAUCUCUUGAAGAACACAUUGCUUCCUCUGUCCCUUUCCCUCUUGCAAAGGUAUACCUUCUUUUGAGUUUUGAUUGUUGUCAUGAGAAGCUAAAGUCUUGAUAUGGUCUUUUAUUGUAUAAACUGCACACAGGUACUGGUGACUUUGGCAACUUCUUUUAGAUAUGACAAAGAUAUGGCUGAUACAGAAGUAGCUACUAUUGAGGCCGGUAUGCUGCGUGAAGCGAUCACAGCGAAGCAACUAGAUCAUGAUCAUGUCCUAUACAUAUUAGGAACUCGCAGUAUCUACCAGCUCAGAGAAACCUUUGUUGCUUACAAGCAGAGUUAUGGGAACACGUUAGAUAAGGUGAGUUUGGCUUUCAUUUAUGUUAUGUGUAUUCGUUAUCUCGAAUGAAAAUGACCCUAGCAUUUGUGUCGGAAGUUCGACUGCUUUCGAACUUCCGGAACAAAACUAAUAUUACAUGUUGUGGUUACGGCACUGGGAGAUUACGGGUUUCUGCCCGAAUCUCUUGGUUAUUUUUUUUUAAAGAUUUUAUAUGUAAUUCUUUACUUGAUGCUUGAUGUUGUGUUGUUAUAUGGACAGGAUGUUGAUGGAUGUCCGGGAGAUGCUGAUCUGAAAAGUCUAUUACAGAUGGUGAUCUUGUGCAUUGAGUUCCCUGAGAAACACUUUGCAAAGGUACUUCAAAAACAUUUGAGCAGAUGUUACUCAAGUAGACAACAAAGGCGUUUUAUCUUCUUUCCUUUGACUUUUGUGUUUUUUGUUUAUGUUUAAUUUACAGGUUGUAAGAGACUCCAUUGAAGGGUUUGGAACAGAUGAAGAUUCGUUGACGAGAGGGAUUGUGACGCGUGCAGAGAUUGAUCUGAUGAAAGCAAGAGGAGAGUACUAUAACAUGUACAAUACAAGCAUGGAUAACGCUAUUAUUGGUGAUGUUUCCGGUGACUACAAGGACUUCCUCCUCACUUUGCUUGGUUCCAACAUCUGAUCUUUGUUUUUCUUUUAAUAUUCUUGGCUUGUGAUUUGUGUGACUUGUAAGAAAAACUUCUUUUCUCUCUCCGGUUUGAACAAAUGUUAUAAAAAUAAUCAAACUACUCUUGUUUCUUGAUUUUUAAUGAUAUGUUGUAUAUAUUUGAAAAAGUACCUAAAACUAAAAAAAAUGUAGGUAGAGCCAAAUACAAAUCAGGCCUGCCACGCCAAAGUGUAGUUCACAUGGACGUCACGUUCGGGUUAUAUUUGGAUUGGAUUGAUAUAUGUUCGAGUUAGGUUUGGUUAAUCAUAUUUUUGAUUAUAAUUUUUUUUUUUUAUAAUUUUCUAAAAAAUUUCAUUUCAAAUUAAAAUUCAUUUUGGGUUCAGUUAAUAAUAUUUUGAAUUUAAAUAUUUUACAACCGGACCAUGAUAGAUAGACAUAAAGUUAAAUAUUUGAAAUAUUUAUUUAGUAUUGUGAAUAGUCUCAUUUCAAAUGCUAAUUUAAUACGGACAAGAUUUGGAUAAUAUGAAAAUCCAAAAUAUUUUAAUUAAAGUUUGUUUUGGACAUGGGUUUCAGUUACUAAUGUCCAGACUUAGUAGUGGGCCGCAGAAACAAAACUCAAGCCCAAUAUUAUGAUAAGCAAGAAUGGCACUCACGUGACAUCUCCAAAACGGCAUAAAGUCCGGCGGGAAGGCAGACUAUUCCGAUGUGACAAGCACACUCUUCGUUAAUCAAAUAUGGUAAAAAGAUUUAAAUAUUUUUCUUGAGAUAUUUUGUGCAGAUUGAGUUUUAAAAAAAUGUGUGGCUCUUGUCAUCUUCCACCAAAUCACACAAGGCUCCAAAAAAAAAAAAAAACAUUUUCCUCCAGCUUCUUUGGAGUCAUCUUCUUUAUUUCAUUUUCUUCUCUUUCUCUGUGAUCCUUAAACCCUUUCCAUGGCCUCUAUCUCCAGAGUUCUGCCAACAGAUGGCAGAUUAAGUCAUUGCACUUCAUGGGUUCCUGUAACUCUUGUGAGGAGAGCUCAAACUCCACCUGGUAUAUAACAUCAGCGAUCCUUUUAAUCUAACACAAAGUCUCUGGCUUUUUUUGUUGCUGAUGAAUCCAUUUCUCUGUGUUUAUUUCAGAUUCUCUCAAGUUGUUUCCCGUUAGUAAAGCUGGAGUAAGUUUAAGGAUUCAGAACAGUAGUAGACCGUUACGCUCUGUCUUUGCUCUCGAGUCACCUUCCUCCAGGUACUUUAUUGGGGACUAAAUAAAAUUCAUCUAUUGAUGUAAUUUUCUCUAGUUAGAUGCGAGAUUUUGAAGGCCUGUGGCUAUGUUUAGUUAUGAAAAUUUAUUUUACAAAUUUGGAAAUCUAAAUUUUUUUUUUUGAAGUCUAUUUGUUUGUAAUUUUUUUAAAAAAAAUUUAGGGGUCUGUGGCAAAUGUUUCGGUUAGCAUGGCCAGGGCCGACAUCUAACUUAGAUGUGGGUCAAGUUCAAGUUAGCUUCUUGUUUAACAUGUUCGUUGUGAACUUUACAGGAGCAGCCGAGUUGCUUGCAAUGCUGCUGCAGAUAUGUCAGGUGAUGCACCUGAAAGCACUCCUAAGGAACUGAGCCAGUACGAGAAGAUUAUUGAGCUUUUGACCACCCUUUUCCCACUUUGGGUACCUUUUGAUGAACUCUAUAUGCGUUUGAUAUCUCAAAAUGGUGGAGUGAAUGUGAUGCUUUCUUUUUUGUUUGUUGGUGUGCAGGUUAUUUUGGGAACACUUGUUGGCAUCUUCAAGCCAUCUUUGGUAUGCUUUCUUCCAUGCUUCUUAUUUUUUAAUCUUAUGUCAAUCUAAUAGAUUGUCUUUUUAUGUAGGUUACAUGGUUGGAAACAGACCUCUUCACUCUAGGUCUGGGCUUUCUCAUGCUCUCCAUGGGAUUAACUCUUACCUUUGAAGAUUUCAGAAGAUGUUUACGUAACCCCUGGACGGUGAGACCCUAUGACCAACUGUGUAUCUACUCUCUUUAUGUUAACAUUUGGACUCCUCUUGCAGGUGGGUGUUGGUUUUCCCUUUUCUUUUGGUUGUUGAUGAUUGUUGAGGAGCCACCUAAUACUAAACCUUUUAUCAUAGACUCUUAAGCUUUCAGCACCUCUUGCAACUGGUCUUAUCCUGGUCUCAUGCUGCCCUGGAGGACAGGCGUCAAACGUUGCCACCUACAUUUCCAAGGGCAACGUAGCACUCUCUGUACUCAUGACAACGUAUAUACUUUUUUUUUUCACUUGUUUUUUUUUUCGUUUUUUGAAGGCCUCUCAAUAAUAUGUUCUCUAAUUUUAUAGGUGUUCAACAAUCGGAGCUAUUAUAAUGACUCCUCUUCUCACUAAGCUUCUUGCUGGCCAGCUUGUUCCCGUUGAUGCUGCUGUGAGUUUUUCUUUGUAACCAGAAAUAAGCAAAAUAGAAUUGUAUAACAAGAUAGUUGCAUCCUGCCAUAACAAAGGCUUUUUUGACAUUAGGGACUAGCUCUUAGCACUUUUCAAGUAGUGUUGGUGCCUACUAUAGUUGGAGGUAAAGUAUUGAGCUCAGUGUUUCUAGAACAAUGAAUUUACCCAUGUUUCCUUAUGGACUAUAUAGUCUUCUUUUAUUUGUGUGACAGUUCUGGCUAAUGAGUUCUUUCCUAAGUUUACGUCCAAGAUUAUAACAGUGACACCUCUAAUUGGAGUCAUUCUGACCACUCUUCUCUGUGCUAGCCCUGUAAGUAAAAUUUCAUAUAACCAGAAAAAUUGAAUUCUUUAGAAGUGAAAGUAGUAUUGACUCUUGUGAAAAGAUUGGACAAGUUUCAGAGGUUUUGAAAACGCAAGGAGGUCAACUUAUACUCCCAGUAGCACUCCUUCAUGCUGCGGCCUUUGCUAUUGGCUAUUGGAUUUCAAAGUUCUCUUUCGGCGAGUCCACUUCCCGCACCAUUUCUAUAGAAUGUGGAAUGCAAGUAAGUUAACUUCUCCUUCACCAACAAAUAUAUUGCCGUUUGUUUGGUAAGAAGUUCCUUUUUUCAAAGAAACUUUUAUUUGUUUGGUUAGAAGUUCCUUUUUCAAGAAAGUUUAUUGUUUUUGGCAAAUUGUAGAGUUCAGCGCUGGGGUUCUUGCUUGCACAAAAGCAUUUCACAAAUCCUCUGGUCGCUGUUCCUUCUGCAGUCAGUGUUGUCUGUAUGGCGGUAAGUUUUCAUAGGCAUUGUUCUUUGAACCAAUGUGUAGUUUAUGUUUAGUGGCAUUGCUGUAAUCAUGGUCCAUUGCAUUAUGCAGCUCGGCGGGAGUGGAUUAGCUGUGUUCUGGAGAAACCAACCGAUUCCGGAAGAUGACAAGGAUGACUUCAAAGAGUGAAAAGCUAAUCUGUGUCUAUGGGAUUGUCUUGUUUGUAGACAUGCUCCCUUGUGUUUGAUUAAAGGACAUAACACAAGAUCUUUAUUAAAAAAAGACAAAACAAGGAUAUCAUUCUCUAUUUUAAGAGGUGAAUAUAGCAAUGAGUAGGAGAUGCUCUUAUGAAAACAUUUAUGCAAGUGAAGGGUUGGUUAAAGAAAAAAAAACUGCAAGAUGACUUUUGAUUGUUUGCUUACAAGUUAAAAGCCCAAAUUUUUAUUUUUUUGAAGUUUAAAAUAUUUUUGUAAAAAAAUCUUGUGUUUUAAGGAUAACACAUUUUUUUGUGAAAGGGAUAAAACAUCUAAUAAAUAAAAAACAAGGAGCAAAAGAGAAAAUAUUUUUUUCUUAAAAAAUGAGAAAAUAAAUUAAAACAAUCGUUUGAACAUUUUUUUAUUUGACACCUUUUUUGUUUUCUUCACUUAACUGCAUUGCUUUAUUCCUGCUUUUAAUAUUAGAAAACAAACGUGACGUAUAAUCAACUGUUACAUACCUUUUUUCACGAGAAAAUAAAUGUGUUUGAUUGCGUGUCAAUUAGUAUCUCGUUUAAGCUUCUAGAUUAAAAAGGGAAAUCAAACGAUGAGAUUAGCAACCCCGCAGGGACGGAGCUACAUUAGGUAAGUAGGGGGCAGUUGCCCCCCAUAAAAUUUUAAAAUUUCAUUUAAAUGCUUAGGAAAAAAUUGAUUGCCCCAGUUGAAAAAUAUUUAUUGCCCCCCCCCCUCCUCCCUCCCAGCAAAAUCAGCUCGCAAAGUUCAAUAUAAAGUUUCCAUUAUUUCUGUUUUGUUAACAUUAUUAUGUUGCCUUAUUUAAUUUGAACAUUAAACCAUUAUUUCCAUUUUUAUAUAAUGAAAAUGAUUUUCUUUCUUCAAGAACAGUUUGCUUGAUAGUUUUACUGAACAGAAAAUUAAUAUAUAUUUAUCUAAUAAGUAAAUAUACUCAAUGACAAUAAAAAUACAAUAUUUUUAUUUUAGUGAUUAUCUGUUUAUUUUAUGAGUGAAAAAUUUUCUUAAAAAAAAUUUCUUUAUGAUUUUGUUCUUUUCAUCAUUUUGAAGUACCAUAAAUUUUAAGGAAGACAUUUUAAAUUUUAAUCAAUACUUUUUAAAAAAAAAAAUUGGUUUUAUAAACUAUAUUCUAUAAUGAAUUUAUAUAGUUGACAAAAUGAAUUUAUUAAAUAAUUAAUAUUUAAUAAUAAUUUUAUUUAUAAUUAUUAUUUGCUCCCGGUAAAUUUUUUUUCUAGCUCCGCCACUGGCAACCCCUACAAACAAGUUACGGUAUACGGAUAUACUGUACUAAAAAUAGGCGAAUAUACUUUCGUACAAAAGCAAAAAGUACGAACUAAAACUACGGAGGGGCAUUUCCGUCAUCUUCUUUAUCAACUUAUUCCGGGUGGAUCCGUUAACAGACUCCGGCACAAGUGGAGUCGCAGACACGUCCGGAUCUUUGUCACUUACGAAGAACCAACACCCUUAAUCUCACGACACGUGUUCCUGACCGUCUUCGAAGUUACUAAUUUUGACACGUAGGACAACCACGUGUGCACUAUAUCCUUCCUCUUUAUAAAAACCGAACACAAAGCCUUAUCCUUUGUCUUCUUCUUCGUUCAGUUUCAGAUCAGAGAGAUUUUGUUCUGUUUUCUUUUUUUUUCGUUUUCGAAAAUUCAGUUUUUCUUCGAAACUAAUGAUCACAAAAAGCAUAAAGAUCUAACGUUCUCGCGUCGUCGCGUAUCUCGGUGACUUUAUUACCGUAUCUAAAGACUUGAGAAUAAAGCAAUCUUUCUCCUCUUUUUUUCUUAUAUAUUUAUAUUUUGGCUCAAGUUCGAAACCAUCGUAAUGCCGUUUCACACGAAGAUCCAACCGAUCGACUUGUCGGAAGAUCUACCGACGAUGAAGCAAAUGCCGAAGUCGCGUUUGAAGCGCCUCUUCGAGCGUCAGUUCAGUAUCAAGAACGCCACCGUCGACGAGUUCGACGCGCCGCCGCCUUCUAGAGGCAACUCCGGAGAUUUCGAGCCUAGUUCCGUCUGUUUAGGGAAGAUGGUUGUGAACUUCAUGGAGGAUAACAAGGAGGAGGAGGAGAAACAGAGGUGCGGUCGUAGCCGGUGUAGCUGCUUUACCGGGAGUGGAACAGAGAGCUCCGGCGAUGAAUCUGAAUGGUCGGAUAAUGUCAAGUGUUCGUCUGGUGAAGCUUGCGUGAUGCUCAAGGUAUGUUCUCUAGGUUUUUGCUUUAUAAAGGGUAAAGCAGAAACCUGAUGGAUCCAGAUUCGUUUUUGUAGAGUUUGGUUCUGUGUACGAGCAUCAGCGAGAGGAAUGUAAUGGCUGAUGUGACCAAGAUUGUGGAGACAAGUAAGCGUAAAGACCAAUCUUGCUUGAAGAACCUGGUCAGUGUGUUGGUGAGGUUAGGUUACGAUGCGGCUAUAUGCAAAUCUCGUUGGGAGAAGACUCCUUCCUAUCCUACAGGGGAGUAUGAGUAUGUGGAUGUGAUCAUGGAAGGCGAAAGACUGUUGAUCGAUAUUGAUUUCAAGUCCAACUUCGAGAUUGCUCGUGCGACCAAGACCUACAAGUCGAUCCUGCAAACUAUUCCUUGUAUCUUUGUAGGCAAAGCGGAUCGGUUGCAGAGGAUCAUCAUGCUUCUAUCUAAAGCGGCAAAGCAGAGUUUGAAGAAGAAAGGACUUCAUGUGCCACCGUGGAGGAGAGCUGAGUAUGUUAAAUCGAAGUGGCUGUCUACUUACGUUCGUGGAGAGGAGAAGCAGGAAACGGUAGAUAUGUUGAGUGCAUCGGUAGGUGGUUCCAUAGUCUUUGGUGUUUGAAGAUUGUGUGGAAGGUUUUGUUAUAAUGACAUAAAAAGCCUCUAAGAGAGGUGUUGUGAGAGAUAGGAGUGUUCUGAGUCCCUUAAUAGUUUUUUUGAUACUUAAGGGUAUGAACUGAUGAAUCACAGUGUCUCCCCUUGUCUUUUUUUUUGGUGUAAGGGAGACUGUGUUCAGACUCUGUGACUCUGUCUUUGCUUUUGUGAGAUUAAUGGAUUAUAAUAAUUAACCAAUAAUUGUUGCACCUAUUGGUUUUAAUAAGACAUUCAGAAUCCUUUGAGAAGAUAAAAUGCUCCUAUGUAUUUGAUUUGCUGAUUUAGUAUGGGAGGCUCAAGAAGAAAUUUAGCUAAUAUGAACUGAGAGAAUAUGAACAUAGAAAGAAGAGGUUAGGUAACAUCAUGAGGCUAAAUACAUCAUUAAUUACCAUGAUGGGUUGUAAUAUUUUAAUCUGGUGCUAGGAGUUUUUCACCUUUUCUUAAAUAGUUCACCAAUAUUUUUCACCUGCAUAUAGUUUCACUGCUACAUGUACACACGGUCUCAAAGUCUUAGCAGAGAAAAAAACAAUGAAAAUUCUUGUCAAAGCUAAUGGCCUUGAAUGGAAAUUGUUUUUUUUAUAGGUUUCACAAAUGAAAGAUGAUAAAGAUUUGUAGAGGAAAAGCUGAAAUGAGAUAAUAUCAAAGCGAAGACAAUUCAAAUGUAAUGGCGAGGCAUAAAGCUGAUAUAGAAGUAAAAAAGAGAGGAAUCUAGAGAAGCACAUCAUCAGAGUUAGUAAAACUGGACCACCUAGCUAACAAUGUGGUCCAUUUCACCUAGUUCACAAUAAUCUUUUAGCUUUAGAUUAACUGAUUAAGUAAUAAAGACAUAAACUUCCACAAAAUAAUACAGAACAGUCACUAUCCUUUAUUCCGUAAGCUUGACUCAACAUAUCUUAAGUCCUUUCAUUGUGAAAACAAUAGAAUGAGGUUUCAAAACCAAGAACAUCACAAAUAGCACAACCAGAUUUAGCCUCAAAAUCAUCAUCAUCAACAUCAUCAGCCACUGGUCUUUUUUCCCGGUCCUACACUGAUCCAGAUCAGAAUGACUUAUCAGAAAGUCUGAUCCAGCUAUAGUUGGUUGCUUUGUGGGGUUAAACAUUACUUUAGUCACUAUUAUAUGUUUUUGAGACACUCAUAAUAUCAUUUGAGAAGAGAAUGAGCUGGCUUCUAUUGAGUUGUUGUUACUACAUUAUUAUUAAAGAAGUAAACCUAUAAUGUCACGUACUUUGCAUAUGUACAGAAUUAUUAAUAGUUUCGUUGACGAAAUUAUGUACUUCCUUGGCGUGGGGAGCAAGAUCCUCGUUGAUCAGUUUAAUACUCAGAUAAUGUGAUUAUAUAAGAACAGAAUACUUGCAAAGUAAAGAUACUAUCAAAGACUUUUUGUUAAUAGCAUUCACAAACACGACAAACAGAAAAGAGGCUAUGGAUUAUACAGGCAACAAACUGGAGAGACAUAACUUAGAAGCUGAGAAACGACUCAAGAGGGUGGAACAAGAUUAUCUCCACACAAGCCAAAAGUACAUAGAAUCAGAUGUAAGUUUUCAAGACAUGUAAGCCCUGAAACAUACCACCCAAAACAUUAAAAAUGCU
rnacentral:lncRNA from 1 species